rnacentral:lncRNA from 1 species
GGAAGGGAGCCUGGCGUGCCUCGUGUCCGUCCAGGGUGCUCGGGAUUCCCAAGGGCCAUUGUGAGCUCGUCCUUCUCCCUGUUUGGAAGGAACGUCCCUCGCUGCGCUGCAUCGAUAUUGUGUCGAAGGUUCUUGACUGGUGUUUGCACUUGCUCGUCCGUCCACUGACACUGCCCUGUUACAGGGUCCAAGGUUCCGCCAGCCCCGAAGAACCAAGUCCGGCAACGGUCUGGCCAGCGCAUUGUCUCUGGUUCGAUCCCUUUUUCAAGCAGAUCAUGCUCAGCCUUGGACCACUUAGGCCGGGCUUUGAGGUAGCCACCUGACCCCGUGCGAUGGUGAAGCUUCUUCUUCGCAGUAUUUUUCUUGUUUGUCUCCGACAUCUUCUUACUCUUUUUCGAUGUCUUGUGGGCCACAAAUGCGGGCCAGUGAUCUUUGAUCUUCUCAUAUUUGCCGAUGAAUUCUGGUGUCUUUUUUCUCUUGACAAACUGGUUCAGCUCUUUCCUCCACCUCCUCAUUAGGCCUGCCAUCUUCUUAAGAGCACAAGACUUGAUUAAUUGCUCAUUAACUGGCUUCUCCGGAUCCUCCUCUGGCGGUAGGGUGAAAUUUUCCUUCAGCUCAGUCCAAAGAUCUUCUUUCUGCAUAUCAUUGACAUAAGACACCUCAGCGUUUUCAUCCUUAGCAGGCUUAUACCAUUGCUGGAUGCUGAUCGGGAUCCUGUCCCUAACAAGAACCCCGCACUGAGCAGAAAGUGCCUUCCUUGUCCGGAUGGGUUCAAUCGGUUCACCAUCGGGCGCGAUUUCUAUGAUCUCAAACUUUUCAUCCGAGCUCAACUUUUUCUUCGGGCCUCGUCUCCUUACCGAAGUUGUGCUCGAUCCGGAGGAUAGAAAUUAUAAGGAAGAGAGACGACAGUAAUUAAUAUGUGUACAUAUACCAAAACAAUGGAUGCAUCAAUUAACUUGUCAGCACGGGCUUAACUUAUAUAUAUAUACCUGGCCGGACUCGGUUCGGUGACAGGAGCAGUUAGCACGGUCUCCUUCGUCUUGUACCUCCAUUGUGUCACCGGAGCCAUCAUGAACAUAGUCCUCCUCUUGUACCGGCAUUAAUGGGUCGAAGCCAUCAAAAACAUAGCCCUCUUCUUCAUCCAGCUGACCAUCGGUGUCGAUGAGAAAUGACGCAACAUCAUCACUUCCAUUUGCGAUUAUGUCCCCCAACAUCGCUUCUGUUUCUUCGUCUCGGGAGUGCUCCAUAGUUUUUGCAAAUAUUUACAACAUGUCAAUUAUUAUUCAAACAUGGUACANNNNNNNNNNNNNNNNNNNNNNNNNNNNNNNNNNNNNNNNNNNNNNNNNNNNNNNNNNNNNNNNNNNNNNNNNNNNNNNNNNNNNNNNNNNNNNNNNNNNNNNNNNNNNNNNNNNNNNNNNNNNNNNNNNNNNNNNNNNNNNNNNNNNNNNNNNNNNNNNNNNNNNNNNNNNNNNNNNNNNNNNNNNNNNNNNNNNNNNNNNNNNNNNNNNNNNNNNNNNNNNNNNNNNNNNNNNNNNNNNNNNNNNNNNNNNNNNNNNNNNNNNNNNNNNNNNNNNNNNNNNNNNNNNNNNNNNNNNNNNNNNNNNNNNNNNNNNNNNNNNNNNNNNNNNNNNNNNNNNNNNNNNNNNNNNNNNNNNNNNNNNNNNNNNNNNNNNNNNNUAAUCACAAUAAGGAAUCAUGUUAGUGGCCUCGACGCUGCUUCUCUAGGGUUUGGGGUCGCCUCGACACAAAGCUUCAAGGGUUUGGGGUGGCCUCGACGAUAACGCUCUUUUAACUUGAUAAAUUUGGGUGGCCUCGAGAGAGUUAAUUUGUCGGGUAGGGGCGCGGCGGGAGGGGGUAGGAGACCAACAUCAUUUUCUCUCUAGGGUUUGGGUGUCCUCGAGAGUUUUGGUCGAGCGAGAGGGCCGAGGGGGGUGCUGCAGUUGUAUAAGUUAUCACGGUCUAGAGGGGGUAUAGCCCCUCAUGUCGAAGUUAUCUAGAGGGGGUUAUAUCGACAACGACGCGACAUACAUAUACAUGGGAAAAUAAUGUUAUCUGGGAGGGGGUAUCGGUACCACCCCCUCGUGUUGAAGUUUCUUCUUUCUCCUCUAUUCCUUUCUUUCUUCUCCUCUUUUUUUUCUUCUUCUCCCUCGAGAAAGGAAAAUAAUUAAGGAAAAGGAAGAAAAGAGGAAGAAGGAAGAAGGAAGAAGAAGAAGAAGAAAAAGAAAAAAAAGAGGAGAAGAAGAAAGGAAUAGAGGAGAAGAAGAAAAAAUAGAAUUUUUUUUCUUCUAUUUUUUCUUCUUCUCGUCUAUUCCUUUCUUCUUCUCCUCUUCUUUUUCUUCUUUUUUCCUCUUCUUAUUUAUUUCUCCUCUUCUUCCUCUCCUCUUUUUCUCCUUUCUUCCUCUUCUUAUUUCCCUUUUUCCUCUCAUUCUUUUUCUUCUUCUUCUUCCUUCUUCCUUCUUCCUAUUUUCUUCCUUUUCCUUAUUUUACUUUCUCCUCUACACUAACCUAAAAUGCACUAACCUAAAAUCGAUCGAUAUCUACUAACAACCUAAAUAUAAAAUUAUUACAUUUAUGAAAAAACAUAUAUAAACAAAAAAAUGCUAUGAACAUUAUAUUUAUACAUACAUAUAUAGCCACAUCCAUUCAUCAUAUAUAUAUAUAGCUACCACAUACAUAUAUACAUUAUACAUAUGAAAAAAAUGCAAUGAAUAAAAAAAUACACUUAUAAAAAAAAUACUAUGAACAUGCUAUAUAUACACAUACAAACACAUAUACACAAAAAAAAUGCAAAAAAAUGCUAUGGAGGAAAAUGCAGGGCGGGCGGCGUGCACGGCGGCCNNNNNNNNNNNNNNNNNNNNNNNNNNNNNNNNNNNNNNNNNNNNNNNNNNNNNNNNNNNNNNNNNNNNNNNNNNNNNNNNNNNNNNNNNNNNNNNNNNNNNNNNNNNNNNNNNNNNNNNNNNNNNNNNNNNNNNNNNNNNNNNNNNNNNNNNNNNNNNNNNNNNNNNNNNNNNNNNNNNNNNNNNNNNNNNNNNNNNNNNNNNNNNNNNNNNNNNNNNNNNNNNNNNNNNNNNNNNNNNNNNNNNNNNNNNNNNNNNNNNNNNNNNNNNNNNNNNNNNNNNNNNNNNNNNNNNNNNNNNNNNNNNNNNNNNNNNNNNNNNNNNNNNNNNNNNNNNNNNNNNNNNNNNNNNNNNNNNNNNNNNNNNNNNNNNNNNNNNNNNNNNNNNNNNNNNNNNNNNNNNNNNNNNNNNNNNNNNNNNNNNNNNNNNNNNNNNNNNNNNNNNNNNNNNNNNNNNNNNNNNNNNNNNNNNNNNNNNNNNNNNNNNNNNNNNNNNNNNNNNNNNNNNNNNNNNNNNNNNNNNNNNNNNNNNNNNNNNNNNNNNNNNNNNNNNNNNNNNNNNNNNNNNNNNNNNNNNNNNNNNNNNNNNNNNNNNNNNNNNNNNNNNNNNNNNNNNNNNNNNNNNNNNNNNNNNNNNNNNNNNNNNNNNNNNNNNNNNNNNNNNNNNNNNNNNNNNNNNNNNNNNNNNNNNNNNNNNNNNNNNNNNNNNNNNNNNNNNNNNNNNNNNNNNNNNNNNNNNNNNNNNNNNNNNNNNNNNNNNNNNNNNNNNNNNNNNNNNNNNNNNNNNNNNNNNNNNNNNNNNNNNNNNNNNNNNNNNNNNNNNNNNNNNNNNNNNNNNNNNNUUUCCAAAUUUGAAAACACUUUUUUUUGUUUUCUUUCUUGCUUUAUUUAUUUUAUUUUGUUUCUACUUACAACAAAAUACUUAUUGUUGUUUUUUGUUUUGUUUUCUGCAUUAUUUAUUUUCUUUUGUUUUUUGCUUUAUUUUUUAAUUCUUUUUGCUUUUAUUUUUUGGAAAAUUAUAAACUUUCCACUUUUUUCGUUUUUUCGUUUUCUUUCUUGCUUUAUUUAUUUUAUUUUGUUUCUACUCAACAAAAUACUUAUUGUUGCUAUUUUUGAUUAUUACGAGGGCCGAACCAUAAGACAUUAAAGCAUUUCAAAUGAACUCUGAAAAAGUUGAAAGUUGGCAUGGUAUCAUAAAUUGACCCACACAUAGCAUGUGCAUGUACAAAACGGACAAUGGUAUCAUACUCGUCAGUUACAAAGUUGGCAUGGUAUCAUCAUAAUAGUUGCGGGAGAAAGUCUUCACUUUUUCUUCGCUUGUGUCAUUUGCUUAUUGCGCCGUAACCAUGGAUAAUCUUCAUCGUUUAUCAGGAUGCUGGGGUCAGCCUUGACUUUAAAGGGAGGAAUUUCAUGAAACUUUUCAUAAUCUUUAGACAUGUCUGUCUUGUCCUCCACUCCCAUGAUGUCCCUUUUUCCUGAAAGAACUAUGUGGCGCUUUGGCUCAUCGUAUGAUGUAUUCGCUUCCUUAUCUUUUCUCUUGCUCGGUCUGGUAGACAUGUCCUUCACAUAGAUAACCUGUGCCACAUCAUUGGCUAGGACGAACUGUUCGUCAGUGUACCCAAGAUUUUUCAGAUCCACUAUUGUCAUUCCGUACUAUGGGUCUACCUAUACCCCGCCUCCUGACAGAUUGACCCAUUUGCACUUAAACAAAGGGACCUUAAAAUCAUGUCCGUAGUCAAGUUCCCAUAUGUCCACUAUGUAACCAUAAUAUGUUUCCUUUCCCCUCUCGGUUGUUGCAUCAAAGCGGACACCGCUGUUUUGGUUGGUGCUCUUUUGAUCUUGGUCAAUCGUGUAAAAUGUAUUCCCAUUUAUCUCAUAUCCUUUCCAAAUCAAUACAGUCAAAGAUGGUCCCCUGGAUAACAAGUACAGCUCAUCACAAACAGUGUUGUCACCUCUGAUACGUGCUUCCAACCAACUGCUGAAAGUCCUGAUGUGUUCACAUGUAAUCCAGUUGUCGCACUGUUCCGAGUGUUUGGAGCGCAGACUAUUCUUAUGUUCAUCGACAUACGGGGUCACCAAGGUAGAGUUCUGUAGAACUGUGUAGUGUGCUUGAGACCAAGAAUAUUCGUCCCUGCAUAUUAUUGAGUCCCUUCCAAGCGUGCCUUUUCCAGUCAGUCUCCCCUCAUACAGCGAUUUAGGGAGACCUAUCUUCUUAAGGCCAGGAAUGAAGUCAACACAAAACCCGAUGACAUCCUCUGUUUGAUGGCCCAUGGAGAUGCUUCCUUCUGGCCUGGCGUGGUUGCGGACAUAUUUCUUUAGGACUCCCAUGAACCUCUCAAAGGGGUACAUAUUGUGUAGAAAUACGGGGCCCAGAAUGACAAUCUCGUCAACUAGAUGAACUAGGACGUGCGUCAUGAUAUUGAAGAAGGAUGGUGGGAACACCAACUCGAAACUGACAAGACAUUGCACCACAUCACUCCUUAGCCUUGGUAUGAUUUCUGGAUUGAUCACCUUCUGAGAUAUUGCAUUGAGGAAUGCACAUAGCUUCACAAUGGCUAAUCGGACGUUUUCCGGUAGAAGCCCCCUCAAUGCAACCGGAAGCAUGUUCGUCAUAAUCACGUGGCAGUCAUGAGACUUUAGGUUCUCAAACUUUUUCUCUGCCAUAUUUAUUAUUCCUUUUAUAUUCGACGAGAAGCCAGUCGGGACCUUCAUACUAAGCAGGCAUUCAAAGAAGAUUUCCUUCUCUUCUUUGGUAAGAGCAUAGCUGGCAGGACCUUCAUACUGCUUUGGAGGCAUGCCAUCUUUUUCGUGCAAACGUUGUAGGUCCUCCCGUGCCUCAGCUGUAUCUUUUGUCUUCCCAUACACGCCCAAGAAGCCUAGCAGGUUCACGCAAAGGUUCUUUGUCACGUGCAUCACGUCGAUCGAAGAGCGGACCUCUAGGUCUUUCCAGUAGGGUAGGUCCAAAAAUAUAGAUUUUCUUCUUCCACAUGGGUGCGUGUCCCCCAGCGUCACUCGGAACAACUAGUCCGCCGGGACCCUUUCCAAAGAUUAUGUGUAAAUCAUUGACCAUAGCAAGUACGUGAUCACCGGUACGCAUGGCGGGCUUCUUCCGGUGAUCUGCCUCGCCUUUGAAAUGCUUGCCUUUCUUUCGACAUUGAUGGUUGGUCGGAAGAAAUCGACGGUGGGCCAGGUACACAUUCUUCCUGCAGCUUGCCAGGUAUAUACUAUCGGUGUCAAGUAAAAAGUGUGUGCAUGCGUGGUAUCCCUUGUUUGUCUGUCCUGAAAGGUUACUGAGAGCGGGCCAAUCGUUGAUGGUCACGAACAGCAACGCCUUUAGGUUAAAUUCCUCCUGUUUGUGCUCAUCCCACGUACGUACACCAUUUCCAUUCCACAGCUGUAAAAGUUCUUAAACUAAUGGCCUUAGGUACACAUCAAUGUCAUUGCCGGGUUGCUUAGGGCCUUGGAUGAGAACUGGCAUCAUAAUGAACUUCCGCUUCAUGCACAUCCAAGGAGGAAGGUUAUACAUACAUAGAGUCACGGGCCAGGUGCUGUGAUUGCUGCUCUGCUCCCCGAAAGGAUUAAUGCCAUCCGCGCUUAAAGCAAACCAUACGUUCCUUGGCUCACUUGCAAACUCAUCCCAGUACUUUCUCUCGAUUAUUCUCCACUGCGACCCGUCAGCGGGUGCUCUCAACUUCCCGUCUUUCUUACGGUCCUCACUGUGCCAUCACAUCAACUUGGCAUGCUCUCUGUUUCUGAACAGACGUUUCAACCGUGGUAUUAUAGGAGCAUACCACAUCACCUUCGCAGGAACCCUCUUCCUGGGGGGCUCGCUGUCAACAUCACCAGGGUCAUCUCGUCUGAUCUUAUACCGUAAUGCACCGCAUACCGGGCAUGCGUUUAGAUCCUUGUACGCACCGCGGUAGAGGAUGCAGUCAUUAGGGCAUGCAUGUAUCUUCUGCACCUCCAAUCCUAGAGGGCAUAUGACCUUAUUUGUUGCGUAUGUACUGUCGGGCAAUUCGUUAUCCUUUGGAAGCUUCUUCUUCAAUAUUUUAAGUAGCUUCUCAUAUCCUUUGUCAGGCACAGCAUUCUCUGCCUUCCACUGCAGCAAUUCCAGUACGGUACCGAGCUUUGUGUUGCCAUCUUCGCAAUUGGGGUACAACCCUUUUUUGUGGUCCUCUAGCAUGCGAUCGAACUUCAGCUUCUCCUUUUGACUUUCGCAUAGCGUCCUUGCAUCGACAAUGACCCGACGGAGAUCAUCAUCAUCGGGCACAUCGUCUGGUUCCGCUUGAUCUUCAGCAGCUUCGCCCGUUGCAGCAUCAUCGUGCACAUCGUCUGGUUCCUCUUGAUCUUCGGGAGCAUCACCAUAUUCAGGGGGCACAUAGUUGUCAUCGUACUCUUCUUCUUCGCCAUCUUCCAUCAUAACCCCUAUUUCUCCGUGCCUCGUCCAAACAUUAUAGUGUGACAUGAAACCCUUGUAAAGCAGGUGGGUGUGGAGGUUUUUCCGGUCAGAGUAAGACUUCGUAUUCCCAUAUACAGGGCAUGGACAACACAUAAAACCAUUCUGCUUGUUUGCCUCAGCCACUUCGAGAAAAUCAUGCACGCCCUUAAUGUACUCGGAGGUGUGUCUUGAACCGUACAUCCAUUGUCGGUUCAUCUGCGUGCAUUAUAUAAUGAAGUGACCAAAUUAAUAGAAGUUCAUCAUCACAUUAAAACCAAAGUACAUACAUAGUUCUCAUCUAACAACAUAAAGCUCUGCAGAGCAUCUAAAUUAAUUAAACCAUACACUGAAACUAUGUAAAACAUUUCAAUGCGAAAACAAAUGCGAUCAUAAUCGCAACCAAUGUAACAACUGAUCCAACGGCAUAAUGAUACCAAGCCUCGGUAUGAAUGGCAUAUUUUCUAAUCUUUCUAAUCUUCAAGCGCAUAGCAUCCAUCUUGAUCUUGUGAUCAUCGACGACAUCCGCAACAUGCAACUCCAAUAUCAUCUUCUCCUACUCAAUUUUUCUAAUUUUUUCCUUCAAGUAAUUGUUUUCUUCUUCAACUAAAUUUAACCUCUCGACAAUAGGGUGGGUUGGAAUUUCCGGUUCAACAACCUCCUAGAUAAAUAAAAUCUAUGUCACGUUGGUCAGCAUAAUUGUCAUAAACAAUAAAUGAACCAAUAGUUAUGAAAAGAUAAUAUAUACCAUAUCCGAAUCAUAGACAGGACGAGGGACGACGGGGGCGGAUACCAAAACCAUCGCACUAUAUAAGAUGCAAUAAUGAAAGUAAGAAAAUAAUACAAGUAUCUAUCUAAAUAUACAAGUAAGAAUAUUUUUCCUUUCAGAAAGAGGAUAAGAACAAGAGGCUCACCACGGUGGUGCCGGCGAUGAGAUCGGCGCGGGUGAUCGACGACGAUGGAGACGGGGACGGGGCGUGACGGACCACUAAACCUAGACAAAUAUUGAGGAAAAUGGAGCUUGGCGGUCGAGCUUGGAGGGGAGAAAGCUUAAGUAGUGUGGCUCGGGCAUUCCAUCGAACACCUCGUGUGCAUAGGAGGUGAGCUAGAGCACCACAAAGCUCUCCCCUCGCCGACCACAAAAAACAGAGCACUGGGAGUGCUCUGCUCGCGAGCAGGGGGUAUAUAUAGGCACCACCAUUGGUCCCGGUUGGUGGCCUGAACCGGGACUAAAGGGCGGCCUUUGGUCCCGGUUCGUGCCACCAACCGGGACCAAUGGUGGUGGGCCAGGAGCGAGGCCCAUUGGUCCAGGUUCGUCCUUCCGACCGGGACCAAAAGGUCCAGACGAACCGGGACCAAUGGCCCACGUGGCCCGGCCGGCCCCCGGGGCUCAAGAACCGGGUCCAAUGCCCCCAUUGGUCCCGGUUCUGGAUUGAACCGGGACUAAUGGGCUGGACCGGCCUGGACCAUUUCCCCCUUUUCUACUAGUGCUUGGCUUGGCGAGAGUGGAAUAGCCGCUCAGCUCUGACCGUCAGCAACGAGGGGACAACAUCACGGAAAUGAUGGCGCCGAGCUUUUAAUAUGGAGCGGCUAGGGUUAGUGGCUUGGGGUGGUGAAUGAGACAUGGACCGAGCUCCAUCCAAUUCACGUACGUACCUGGGCUCGGCGGGCCGGAGUCCGGUAGGAUGGUCCUUAACAUCCUCAACUUAAAUGCCUUUUUCUUUUAUAGAUUUCUUUGCCUCUCGCAUAUCUUCAGGAUUGAGAAAUAGAAUACCCCUUUUCUUCGGAGUUGGCUUCAGAGUUGGUUCGAGAAGUCUCCAAUCAUUUUCAUUACCCAAUAUAUUAUGCAAUAGCAAUUCAGCUUGCUCAACAGUUCUUUCCCUGAAAACACAACCAGCACAACUGUCCAGGUGGUCUCUGGAAGCAUCAGUUAGUCCAUUAUAAAAAGUAUCAAGUAUUUCAUUUUUCUUGAGAGGAUGAUCAGGCAAAACAUUAAGUAAUCGGAGAAGCCUUCCCCAAGCUUGUGGGAGACUCUCUUCUUCAAUUUGCAGAAAAAACUAAAUAUUUCUUAUAAAGCAGCUUGUUUCUUAUGAGCGGGGAAAUAUUUUGCAAAGAAGUGACAAAUCAUAUCCUGGGGACUACGCACACAACUAGGAGCAAGAUAAUUAAACCAUAUCUUAGCAUCACCCUUUAAUGAGAAAGGAAACAAUUUAAGAAUAUAGUAAUAGCGGAUUUUUUCAUCAUGAGCAAAUAGGGUAGCUAUAUCCAAUUUAGUAAGAUGUGCCACAACAGUUUCACAUUCAUAACCAUGAAAAGGAUCAGAUUCAACCAAAGUAAUUAACUCAAGAUCGACAGAGAAUUCAUAAUCCUUAUCAGUAACAAUGUUAGGUGAAGUAGCAAAAGCGGGAUCAUAUUUCACGCUAGAAUUCAAGGAUUUUUCUUUCAACUUAACUAACAUUUUCUUAAGAUCCUCUCUAUCAUUGCAAGCAAAGAAGUCUCUAGUAGUUUCUUCAUCCAUAACAUAACCCUCAGGAACAACAAGCAAUUCAUAUCUAGGGGGAGAAUCAUAAUCAUAAUUUUCAAUAAUAUCAUCAGUUUCAGUAAUUUCAUUAUCUCUAACCCUAGAUGGUUGUUCAUCAAGAAAUUCACCUAGUGGCAUAGUAUUACCAAGCAGAGAAAUAAUUUCAUCAUACGCAUCAUGCAUAGUAGAAGUGGCAUCAUCAAUAACAUGCGACAUAUCGGAAUCAGUAGCAGGUGGAGGUGUCGCAAGUGUACUCAAAAUAGAAGGAGAAUCAAGUGUAGAGCUAGAUGACAGUUCCUUAAUUCCCCUCGUAGUUGAGGGAAAAAUCUUAGUUAUUUGAUCUUUCAAAUUCCUCAUAGUGAUCAAUAGAUAUAAAUCCCAAGUGACUCAGAGAAUAGAGCUAUGCUACUCGGCAACGGCGCUAGAAAAAGGUCUUGAUAACCCACAAGUAUAGUGAUCGCAAUAGUUUUCGAGGGUAGAGUAUUCAACCCAAAUUUAUUGAUUCGACACAAGUGAGCCAAAGAAUAUUCUUGAGUAUUAGCAGCUGAGUUGUCAAUUCAACCACACCUGAAAGACUUAAUACCUGCAACAAAGUAUUUAGUAGCAAAGUAGUAUGGAAGUAACGAUAACAGUAGCAGUUUUGUAGCAAUUGUAACAGUGGCAACGGAAAAGUAACGAAGCAAAGAUCAAUAUGUGAAAAGCUCAUACGUAAUGGAUCCAUGAUGGAUAAUUAUGUUGGAUAGCAUUCAUCAUGCAACAGUUAUAACAUAGGGUGACACAGAACUAGCUCUAGUUCAUCAAUAUAAUGUAGGCAUGUAUUCCGUAUAUAGUCAUACAUGCUUAUGGAAAAGAACUUGCAUGACAUCUUUUGUCCUACCCUCUCGUGGAAGCGGGGUCCAAUUAUAAGUAAGGGACAUUAAGGCCUCCUUUUAAUAGAGUACGGAACCAAGGCAUUUGCACUUAGUGAAUACAUGAACUCCUCAAACUACGGUCAUCACCGGGAGUGGUCCCGACUAUUGUCACUCCGGGGUUGUCGUAUCAUUACACGUAGUAGGUAACUAUAACUUGCAAUAUCGGAUCAAGAACACAAAUAUAUUCAUAAAAACAUAAUAGGUUCACAUCUGAAAUCAUGGCACUCGGGCCCUAGUGACAAGCAUUAAGCAUAGCAAAUUCAUAGCAACAUCAAUCUUAGAACAUAGUGGAUACUAGGGCUCAAACCCUAGCAAAACUAACUCGAUUACAUAGUAUGUCUCAUCCAAUCCAUCACAGUCCAGCAAGCCUACGAUGGAAUUACUCACGAACGGCGGUGAACAUCAUGAAAUUGGUGAUGGAGGAUGGUUGAUGAUGACGAUGGCGACGGAUUCCCCUCUAUGGAGCCCAAAACGGACUCGAAAUCUGCCCUCCCGAGGAAGAGGCUUGGCGACGGCUCCGUAUCGUAAAACGCGAUGAAUCCCCCUCUCUGAUUUUUUUCUCCCCGAAAGUGAAUAUAUGGAGUUGGAGUUGAGGUCCCUAGAGGUCUAGGGGGCCCACAAGGUCGGAGGGCGCGCCCCAGGGGUGUGGGCCCCUGGUGCUGAUUCUUUCGCCAAUAUUUUUUAUUAAUUCCAAUAGUUAUCUUCAUGUGGUUUAAGGUCAUUCUUCUACAAUCUAAACUAAACUACAGGAAAUGCACCAGCGCAAAUACUACUAAACAGAGAGAAGAGUUGUAACCAGAGGCAACAACAUGCUCCUUACUUGAGUUAGACAACACAGAGAGAAAAAAAAUGCCACAGGUGGCAACAGCAGGACAACAUUGGUCCCUUCUUCUGCUUACAAAUGGAAGCUAGCCAGGCAGCAAAACACCAACCACACGACAGCCCCCGCUAGCAGCGGCCAGGCCAAUUCUCCGUUCUUCUCCAUGGUUCCAAAACAAGAGCAAAAUCAGCCACACUCACAACAAUGUUUGACGACACCGUCCAUCAAGAGCUCGCAUCACCUUCCAAGUAAUGCUGACGCAGGUGUCUCCUGAGAAAACACAAAUUUGACCCGAGAAAACAUAAAUUUGAUGACGUAACAAAUAAUAGAUCCCGAGUAUACACAUCUCCAUACUUCGGAGCUAUUCACUCAAGGAAAAAUUAUACAUAGACACAAGUUUUUACAGCUUCCACACAAUAUAUCAGCAGACGCUUCUAAACCUAGGGAAAAUUACAACUUCACCAUCAGAUUUGUAAUUCAUAAAAAACAAGAGGGAUGGGACACAACAUUGCUAAACUGACAACAGAGGAAUAAAUUUAUACUACAAUGUAACCAAGGUGCUCAACAUACUACCAAACUGAGGAAGAAUUCAUAUCUCCAUACAUCUGAGCACAUUAAAGCAAAAUAUAUUCACUCAAGGACAAAUUCUACAUAGACACUUCUAAAACAUCAAAAGCCAACAAUAUAUCAGCAGACACUUCCUAUUAGGUGUUCAUCAGGAUGUUUUGUUCCAUCUCCUGUAAAAGUAUUAGCUAGUAGUUUUUCUAACAUACCCGAAGGAACUUCAAAGGGAAUAAUUUCAUUUUCAGUAGGUUCAAUAGGCUGAGGAGCAACUCUUUGCUCUACUGGUCGGGGUGAAGGUACCCCGAACAAGCCCCUCAAAGGAUUACUUUCCAUAGUAACAAGUGACAGUAAAUUUCAGCACACUACAUAAAUUUUUCCUUACCAAAUUCCACCUACCAAAGGUGCUUCACACCCCGGCAACGGCACCAGAAAAGAGUCUUGAUGACCCACAAGUAUAGGGGAUCUAUCGUAGUCCUUUCGAUGAGUAAGAGUGUUGAAUCCAACGAGGAGCAGAAGGAAAUGAUAAGCAGUUUUCAGCAAGGUAUUCUCUGCAAGUACUGAAAUAAGUGGUAACAGAUAGUUUUGUGAUAGGAUCAUUUGUAAUGAGGAACAAGUAACAAAAGUAAAUAAAGUGCAGCAAGGUGGCCCAAUCCUUUUGUAGCAAAGGACAAGUCUGGACAAACUCUUAUAUAAGGAAAAGCGCUCCCAAGGACACAUGGGAAUAUCGUCAAGCUAGUUUUCAUCACGUUCAUAUGGUUCGCGUUCGGUACUUUGAUAAUUUGAUAUGUGGGUGGACCGGUGCUUGGGUGCUAUUCUUACUUGAACAAGCAUCCCACUCAUGAUUAACCUCUAUUGCAAGCAUCCGCAACUACAACAAAAGUAUUAAGGUAAACCUAACCAUAGCAUGAAACAUAUGGAUCCAAAUGAGCCCCUUACGAAGCAACUCAUAAACUAGAGUUUAAGCUUCUGUCACUCUAGCAACCCAUCAUCUACUUAUUACUUCCCAAUGCCUUCCUCUAGGCCCAAAUAAUGGUGAAGUGUUAUGUAGCCGACGUUCACAUAACACCACUAGAGGCUAGACAACAUACAUCUCAUCAAAAUAUCGAACGAAUACCAAAUUCACAUGACUACUAAUAGCAAGACUUCUCCCAUGUCCUCAGGAACAAACGUAACUACUCACAAAGCAUAUUCAUGUUCAUAAUCAGAGGGGUAUUAAUAUGCAUAAAGGAUCUGAACAUAUGAUCUUCCACCAAUUAAACCACCUAGCAUCAACUACAAGGAGUAAUCAACACUACUAGCAACCUACUAGUACCUAUCCCGGACUUGGAGACAAGAAUUGGAUACAAGAGAUGAACUAGGGUUUGGAGAGGAGAUGGUGCUGGUGAAGAUGUUGAUGGAGAUUGCCCUCUCCCGAUGAGAGGAGCAUUGGUGAUGGCGAUGAUUUCCCCCUCCCGGAGGGAAGUGUCCCCGGCAGAACAGCUCUGCCGGAGCCCUAGAUUGGUUCCGCCUCGUGGCCGUGGAGUUUCGUCCCGAAAGGUUGCUUAUGAUUUUUUCCUCGACGAAAGACCUCAUAUAGCAGAAGAUCGCCAUUGGAGAGCCAACAGGGGGCCCAUGAGGUAGGGGGCACGCCCUGGGGGGUAGGGCGCGCCCCCACCCUCGUGGACAGGUGGGCCCCCCUCUGGUGAACUUCUUCCACUGGAUAUUUUUUAUUAUUUCCCGAAAUGACUUUCGUGGAGUGUCAGGACUUUUGGAGUUGUGUAGAAUAGGUCUCUAAUAUUUGCUCCUUUUCCAGUCCAAAAUUCUAGCUGCCGGCAUUCUCCCUCCUUAUGUAAACCAUGUAACAUAAGAGAGAAUAGGCAUAAGUAUUGUGACAUGAUGUGUAAUAACAGCCCAUAAUUCAAUAAAUAUAGAUAUAAAAGCAUGAUGCAAAAUGGACGUAUCAACUCCCCCAAGCUCAGACCUCGCUUGUCCUCAAGCGGAAGCCGGUAACGAUAAAUGUGUCCCCAUGUUUAGAGCUAGAGGUGUCGAUAAAAAUAAAAUACGAACAUGAAGGCCUCAUGAUUAUUCUCAUAACAGCAACAUAUAUAGAUAUUGUCAUAUGAUUUCUUAUGCUCAAGUAAUAAUUUAUUCACAAUGUAAAUUACGAAUCAUAAACUUUAUUGAGAACCAACAAACCAUAAUCUCGGUCAUUGAAGCAAUUGCACUUUAUCAUAACAUCAGAAAGAGUCUAUGUCAGAGCUUAAUAGCAAGUCUACAUACGCAACUAUCAUUUAAUAUUUCAUAAUUGCUAACACUCACGCAAUAUAUACUUGUGGUUACGGAGUCUUAAUCGGACACAAAGAAAGAUAGGGGCUUAUAGUUUCGCCUCCCAACCUUUUACCUCAAGGGUAAUGCAAACAAUAAUAACUCAUGCUCCCCUACAUCCAAUUAGAUAUAUCCAUCAGGAUCUUUCCAACAUACUGUGCUUGCCAAAGGAUAAAAUGUAAAAAGGAAGGGUGAAGAUCACCAUGACUCUUGCAUAAGGUAGAAGAUGAUAAUAAAAGAUAGGCCCUUCGCAGAGGGAAGCAUAGGUUUCCAUGCGCUUUUAUGGUUGGAUGCACAAAAACUUAAUGCGAAAGAACGUCACUUUAUAUUGCCCCAUGUGAUAUGAACCUUUAUUAUGCAGUCUGUCGCUUUUAUUACUUCCACAUCACAAGAUCGUAUAAAGCUUAUUUCUCCCACACCAAUCAAUCAUACAUAUUUAGAGAAAUUUUUAUUGCUUUGCACCGAUGACAACUUACUUGAAGGAUCUUACUCAAUCCAUAGGUAGGUAUAGUGGACUCUCAUGGCAAAACUGGUUUAAGGGUUUUUGGAAGCACAAGUAGUAUCUCUACUUGGUGCUGAGAAUUUUCCUAGCAUGAGGGGGAAAGGCAAGCUCAGCAUGUUGGAUGAUCCAUGACAACAUACUUUAUCUCAGAUAUAAGAAAACAUAACUCAUUAUGUUGUCUUCCUUGUCCAACAUCAACUCUUUAGCAUGUCAUAUUUUAAUGAGUGCUCCCAAUCAUAAAAGAUGUCAAUGAUAAUAUAUUUAUAUAUGAAACCCCUCUUUCCUUAUUACUUCCUAUUAAUUGCAACGAUGACCAAAGCUAUGUUUGCCAACUCCCAACAACAUUUAAACAUCAUACUCUUUCUAUGUGAAGUCAUUACUCUCAAUUAGAUCAAUAUGAACUCUUAUUAUUUUUAUUAUUUUUCUCUUUUCUUUUAUUCACUCAAGAUCAUGGCAAUACGAUCAAGCCCUUGACUCAACACUAAUCUUUAUUAUAUAGCUCACAGACUCGAUUACAUAGAGAGAUCAUAAAGCAAAAACUCAAAACUAGAUCAUGCCAUAAACUUUAUUCUACUAGAUCAAGAUACUACUAAUAGAAUCGAACUAAGAAAAUGGUAAAGAUAUGAGUGUGAUGGUGAUACGAUACCGGGGCACCUCCCCCUAGCUUGGCAGUUGCCGAGGGGAGUGCCCAUACCCAUGUGAUUAUGUCUCCUUCUUUGUCGAUGGUGUAAUAUUCUUGACGAUGAUGCCCCUCAAGAUACGAUUCUCCUCCUCGAGCUUAUUGACUUGGUGCUUGAGAUCUAUUAUUUCCUUACGAAGCUUUCCUGUGACUGCUAAAGCUCCUUGCACCCAAGGGUGUUGCAUAGCUGCGGGAGAACAAGUGACACUCCUCUUCAUAUUUUCAUAAGAAAGAAAUCUAACAUUGGAAGGGAUAACCGAGUUUGGAAUAGCUGAGCUAUGUAGUUCCCCCAUCGUCUACCCAGCUCGGAAGCGAGAAGUGACUUCUUGAUCCUCCAUGGCAUCUACCCUCAUCAAAUUAGCCUCCAUCUCUUCCUCCGUUCCUGGCCCAAAGUGGUCAGCGUCGCUGUUUGCCCUUGGUUCCGAUGCCGGAUGAGAUACCCGGCUCUCCCCGACUAACUCUUGGGAAGACAUCUUGCUCUAAUCUGCAACACCAACAGCUCAAAACAAAAACAGAGGAUAUUUCCGUGAUACAGGGGUCAUAACCUUCGGGAGAAUAUAUAAUGAUUUUUUACCGACCAAAAUAUGUAUCGUGCAAGAAAACGGAGUCCGGAAGGCACACGAGGUUCCCACGAGGUAGGGGGCGUGCCCAGGGGGUAGGGCGCGCCCUUCACCCUCGUGGGGCCCUCGUGUCCUUCCCGGAUUGCUACUUAUUUUUCUAUUUUUAUAAAUAUUCCAAAAUAGAGAAAUAUUGCCUUUAAAACUGUUUUGGAGUCGGUUUACUUACCAUACCACAUACCUAUUCCUUUUCGGAGUCUGAAACGUUCUGAAAAGUGUCCCUUAUGUAUUCCUCUGGGGUUACGGUUUCGAUAACAUUGGUUUCAACAUUUAUGGGAUUACCUGAGAUAUAAUGUUUGAUUCUUUGACCUUUUACCACCUUCGGAUUUUUGCCUUCGAAGUUGUUGAUUUUUAUGGCACCGGAACGAUAGACCUCCUCAAUAUCGUAGGGGCCUUCCAAUUUAGAGAGAAGUUUUCCUACAAAAAAUCUUAAACGAGAGUUGUAUAGCAAUACAUAAUCACCUACAUUAAACUCACGCUUUUGUAUCCUUUUGUCAUGCCAUCUUUUUACUUUUUAUUUAAACAAUUUGGCAUGUUCAUAAGCUUGGGUUCUCCAUUCAUCAAGUGAGCUAAUAUCAAAUAACCUCUUCUCACCGGCAAGUUUAAAAUCAUAGUUGAUCUCUUUAAUAGCCCAAUAUGCCUUAUGUUCUAGUUCGAGAGGUAAGUGACAUGCUUUUCUGUAAACCAUUUUAUACAGAGACAUACCCAUAGGAUUUUUAUAUGCAGUUCUAUAGGUCUAUAAUGCAUCAUCAAGUUUCUUGGACCAAUUCUUUCUAGACCUAUUGACAGUCUUUUGCAAAAUUAAUUUGAGCUCUCUAUUACUCAAUUCUACUUGACCACUAGACUGUGGGUGAUAAGGAGAUGCAAUUCUAUGAUUAACAUCAUAUUUAGCAAGCAUUUUAUAGAAAGCACCAUGAAUAAAAUGUGAACCACCAUCAGUCACUAAAUAUCUAGGGACUCCAAACCUCGGAAAAAUAACUUCCUUAAGCAUUUUAAUAGAAGUGUUAUGAUCAGCACUACUAGUUGGAAUAGCUUCUACCCACUUAGUAACGUAAUCAACAGCAACUAAAAUAUGUGUAUAUCCAUUAGAGGCAGGAAAAGGUCCCACAUAAUCAAAGCCCCAAACAUCAAAUGGUUCAAUAACGAGUGAAUAAUCCAUAGGCAUUUCUUGACGUCUACUUAUAUUACCAAUUCUUUGAUAUUCAUCACAAGAUAAGACAAACUUACGGGAAUCCUUGAAGAGAGUGGGCCAAUAAAACCCGGAUUGCAAUACCUUAUGUGCAGUUCUAUCUCCAGCGUGGUGUCCUCCAUAAGCUUCAGAAUGACACUUGCGUAGGAUAUGUUUCUGUUCAUGCUCAGGUACACAAUGUCUAAUAACACCAUCUACUCCUUCUUUAUAAAGAUGUGGGUCAUCCCAAAAGUAAUGUCUCAAAUCAUAGAAAAACUUUUUCUUUUGUUGGUAUGUGAAACUAGGCGGUAUGAAUUUAGCAACAAUGUAAUUAGCAUAAUCAGCAUACCAUGGAGUACUACGAGAAGUAUUUAUGACAUUUAAUUGCUCAUCAGAAAAGCUAUCAUCAAUAGGUAGUGGGUCAUAAAGAACAUUUUCUAACCUAGACAAGUUGUCUGCAACGGGGUUCUCAGCUCCCUUUCUAUCAACAAUAUGCAAAUCAAAUUCUUGUAGCAAGAGAACCCAUCUAAUAAGUCUAGGUUUAGCAUCUUUCUUUUCCAUAAGAUAUUUAAUAGCAGCAUGAUCUGUGUGAAUGGUUACUUUAGAAUCAACAAUAUAAGGUUUGAACUUAUCACAAGCAAAUACAACUGCUAAGAGUUCUUUUUCAGUAGUAGCAUAAUUUCUUUGAGCAUUGUCUAGAGUCUUACUAGCAUAAUGGAUAACAUUUAAUUUCUUAUCAACUCUUUGCCCUAGAACAGCACCUACAGCAUAAUCACUAGCAUCACACAUAAUUUCAAAGGGUAAAUUCCAAUCAGGUGGUUGAACAAUUGGUGCAGAGAUCAAUGCCUUAUUAAGUAUUCAAAUGCUUCUACACAAUCAUCAUCAAAGACAAAUGGUAUAUCUUUUCAUAAUAAAUUAGUCAGAGGCCGAGAAAUUUUUGAGAAGUCCUUAAUGAACCUCCUAUAAAAUCUGGCAUGACCAAGGAAACUUUUUAUACCAUUGAUGUCCUUGGGACAUGGCAUCUUUUCAAUAGCAUCAACCUUAGCUUUGUCAACUUCAAUACCUCUUUCAGACACUUUAUGCCCCAAGACAAUACCUUCAUUAACCAUAAAGUGGCACUUUUCCCAAUUCAAGACAAGAUUAGUUUCUUCACAUCUCUGCAAAACUCGAUCAAGAUUGCUCAAGCAAUCAUCAAAAGAAGAUCCAUAAACGGAAAAGUCGUCCAUGAAAACCUCACAAAUCUUUUCACAAAAGUCAGAGAAUAUAGCCAUCAUGCAUCUUUGAAAGGUAGCGGGUGCAUUACAUAAACCAAAAGGCAUGCGUCUAUAAGCAAAAGUACCAAAAGGGCAUGUAAAAGUAGUCUUUGAUUGAUCUUUAGCUGACACGGGUAUUUGAGAGAAACCAGAAUAACCAUCUAGAAAGCAACAAUGUGUAUGUUUGCAUAAUAUUUCUAACAUUUGAUCGAUAAAAGGUAAGGGGUAAUGAUCUUUCUUAGUAGCCUUAUUUAAUUUGCAGAAAUCAAUUACCAUCUUGUAACCUGUAAUAAUUCUUUGCGGAAUCAAUUCAUCUUUAUCAUUAGGAACAAUAGUAAUACCUCCCUUCUUAGGGAUACAAUGGACAGGACUUACCCACUGACUAUCAGCAACAGGAUAAAUUAUACCUGCCUCCAGAAGCUUUAGUAUUUCUUUUCUUACUACUUCUUUCAUUUUAGGAUUAAGCCUUCGUUGAUGAUCACGAACUGGUUUGGCAUCUUCUUCCAGAUUUAUUUUGUGUUGACAUAGAGUGGGGCUAAUGCCCUUAAGAUCAUCAAGAGUAUAUCCAAUAGCAGCACGGGUGCUUCUUCAGAGUUUUCAAUAAUCUCUCUUCUUCAUGCUCUGAAAGGUUAGCACUAAUAAUACCAGGAUAUAUUUUCUUUUCAUCAAGAUAAGCAUAUUUAAGAUUAUCAGGCAACGGUUUAAGCUCAAACACGGGAUCACCCUUGGGUGGAGGAGGAUCCCCUAAGAUUUCAAUAGGCAAAUUGUGUUUCAGAAUAGGUUCCUGUUUAAAGAAUACUUCAUCUAUUUCCCUUCUUUCAUUCAUAAACAUAUCAUUUUCAUGGUCUAGCAAAUAUUGUUCUAAAGGAUCACUAGGAGGUACGGCAAUAGAAGCAAGACCAAUAAUUUCACCCUUACUAGGCAGUUCUUCUUCACGGUGUUGUAUACUAAAUUUAGAGAAAUUAAACUCGUGAAUCAUAUCAUUCAAGCCAAUAGUAACAACAUUCUUUUCGCAGUCUAUCUUAGCAUUAACAAUAUUUAAGAAGGGUCUACCAAAUAUAAUGGUACAAAAGCUAUCUUCUGGGGAACCAAGAACAAGAAAAUCAGCAGGAUAUUUAGUUUUCCCACACAAGACUUCAACAUCUCUAACAAUUGCCAUUGCUGACAUAGUAUCUCUAUUAGCAAGCUUAAUUGUGACAUCAAUAUCUUCUAACUCAGUAAGUGCAAUUUCAUGCUUAAUUUCUUCGUAUAAAGUAUGCGGUAUAACACUAGCACUAGCACCCAUAUCACAUAAGCCAUGAUAACAAUGAUCUCCUAUAUUAACAGAAAUAACAGGCACGCCUACCACAGGUCUAUGUUUAUCUUUAGCACAAGGUUUGGCAAUUCUAGCGGUUUCACCGCAGAAAUGAAUAACAUGCCCAUCAAUAUUAUCAGCCAAGAGAUCUUUAACAAUAGCAAUAUUAGGUUCAACUUUAAGUUGCUUAGGAGGUGUAUAAGUUCUAAUAUUGCUUUUAUGAACCACAGUUGAAGCUUUAGCAUGAUCCUUUAUCCUAACAGGGAAAGGUGGUUUCUCAACAUAAGAAGUAGGAACAAGAGGAUCAUUACAAGUGACAGUCUUUUCUUCAACUUUAGUCGGUGCAGCUACUUUUACUUCUAUGGGAGGAUGAUAUUUAAACCAAUUCUCCUUGGGGAGAUCAACAUAAGUAGCAAAAGAUUCACAGAAAGAAGCUACUAUCUCAGAGUCAAGUGCAUAUUUAGUGCUAAAUUUACGGAAAACAUCGGUAUCCAUAAAAGACUUAACACAAUCAAACUUAGGUGUCAUACCUGACUCCUUACCUUCAUCGAGAUCCCAAUCUUCAGAGUUGCUUUUAAUUCUAUCCAAUAAAUUCCAUUUGAAUUCAAUAGUUUUCAUCAUAAAAGAGCCAGCACAAGAAGUAUCGAGCACGGUGCGAUUGUUUUCAGAAAGCUGAGCAUAAUUUUUUUGAAGAAUUAUUUCUUUUGAGAGCUCAUGAUUGGGGCAUGAACAUAACAUCGAUUUAAGCCUCCCCCAAGCUUGAGCGAUGCUUUCUCCUUCACGAGGCCAAAAAUUAUAUAUAUAAUUGCGAUCGCGAUGAACACGAUGCAUAGGAUAAUACUUUUGAUGAAAUUCCAACUUCAUUCAUUUAUAGUUCCAUGACCUCGUAUCAUCACAUAGCCUAUACCAUGUUGAUGCGUCUCCCUUCAAAGAUAAAGGGAAGACCUUCUUCUUAACAACAACAUCGGGUAUACCUGCAAGUUUAAAUAAUCCACAAACUUCAUCCACAUAUAUUAGGUGUUCAUCAGGAUGUUUUGUUCCAUCUCCUGUAAAAGUAUUAGCUAGUAGUUUUUCUAACAUACCCGAAGGAACUUCAAAGGGAAUAAUUUCAUUUUUAGUAGGUUCAAUAGGUUGAGGAGCAACUCUUUGCUCUACUGGUCGGGGUGAAGAUACCCCGAACAAGCCCCUCAGAGGAUUACUUUCCAUAGUAACAAGUGACAGUAAAUUUCAGCACACUAUAUAAAUUUUUCCUUACCAAAUUCCACCUACCAAAGGCGCUUCACUCCCCGGGAACGGCGCCAGAAAAUAGUAUUGAUGACCCACAAGUAUAGGGGAUCUAUCAUAGUCCUUUCGAUAAGUAAGGGUGUCGAACCGAACGAGGAGCAGAAGGAAAUGAUAAGCGGUUUUCAGCAAGGUAUUCUCUGCAAGUACUGAAAUAAGUGGUAACAGAUAGUUUAGUGAUACGAUAAUUUGUAACGAGCAACAAGUAACAACAGUAAAUAAAGUGCAGCAAGGUGCCCAAUCCUUUUGUAGCAAAGGACAAGCCUGUACGAACUCUUAUAUAAGGAAAAGCGCUCUCGAGGACACAUGGGAAUAUCGUCAAGCUAGUUUUCAUCAUGUUCAUAUGGUUCGCGUUCGGUACUUUGAUAAUUUGAUAUGUGGGUGGACCGGUCCUUGGGUGCUGUUCUUACUUGAACAAGCAUCCCACUUAUGAUUAACCUCUAUUGCAAGCAUUCGCAACUACAACAAAAGUAUUAAGGUAAACCUAACCAUAACAUGAAACAUAUGGAUCCAAAUCAUCCCCUUACGAAGCAACGCAUAAACUAGGGUUUAAGCUUCUGUCACUCUAGCAACCGAUCAUCUACUUAUUACUUGCCAAUGCCUUCCUCUAGGCCCAAAUAAUGGUGAAGUGUUAUGUAGUCGACGUUCACAUAACACCACUAGAGGCUAGACAACAUACAUCUCAUCAAAAUAUCGAACGAAUACCAAAUUCACAUGACCACUAAUAGCAAGACUUCUCCCAUGUCCUCAAGAACAAACGUAACUACUCACAAAGCAUAUUCAUGUUCAUAAUCAGAGGGGUAUUAAUAUGCAUAAAGGAUCUGAACAUAUGAUCUUCCACCAAUUAAACCAACUAGCAUCAACUACAAGGAGUAAUCAACACUACUAGCAACCUACUAGUACCUAUCCCGGACUUGGAGACAAUAAUUGGAUACAAGAGAUGAACUAGGGUUUGGAGGGGAGAUGGUGCUGGUAAAGAUGUUGAUGGAGAUUGCCCUCUCCCGAUGAGAGGAGCAUUGGUGAUGGCGAUGGUGAUGAUUUCCCCCUCCCGGAGGGAAGUGUCCCCGGUAGAACAGCUCUGCUGGAGCCCUAGAUUGGUUUCGCCAAGGUUCCGCCUCGUGGCGGCGGAGUUUCGUCCCGAAAGGUUGCUUUUGAUUUUUUCCUUGGCGAAAGACCUCAUAUAGCAGAAGAUGGCCAUCGGAGAGCCAACAGGGGGCCCACGAGGUAGGGGGCGCGCCCCCACCCUCGUGGACAGGUGGGCCCCCUCUGGUGAACUUCUUCCGCUGGAUAUUUUUUAUUAUUUCCCAAAAUGACUUUCGUGGAGUUUCAGGACUUUUGGAGUUGUGCAGAAUAGGUCUCUAAUAUUUGCUCCUUUUCCAGCACAGAAUUCCAGCUGCCGGCAUUCUCCCUCCUUAUGUAAACCUUGUAAAAUAAGAGAGAAUAGGCAUAAGUAUUGUGACAUAACAUGUAAUAACAGCCCAUAAUGCAAUAAAUAUCGAUAUAAAAGCAUGAUGCAAAAUGGACGUAUCACCCUCCGUGAUGGGUUCCCCUUCCGGCGAAGCUCCGGAACAGGCCCCAAGAUGGGAUCUCGUGGGUACAGAAGGUUGCAGCGGUGGAAUUAGGUUUUUGGCUCCGUAUCUGAUCGUUUGGGGGUACGUAGGUAUAUAUAGGAGGAUGGAGUAUGUCAGUGGAGCAACAGGUGGGCCAUGAGGGUGGAGGGCGCGCCUGGGGGGUUGGCGCGCCCCCCUACCUCGUGCCUUCCUCUUUUCGUUCUUGACGUAGGGUCCAAGUCUCCUGGAUCAUGUUCGGUGAGAAAAGCACGUUCCCGAAGGUUUCAUUCCGUUUGGACUCCGUUUGAUAUUCCGUUUCUUCGAAACUCUGAAACAGGCAAAAAACAGCAAUUCUGGGCUGGGCCUCCGGUUAAUAGGUUAGUCCCAAAAAUAAUAUAAAAGUGGAAAAUAAAGCCCAAUAAUGUCCAAAACAGUAGAUAAUAUAGCAUGGAGAAAUAAAAGUUUAUAGAUACGUUGGAGACGUAUCAGUGUCAGACAGGGCUGAUUCAGAUAGGGCAUCCAAGUGGGCGCGCAAGAAGGAGAAAAUGUUAUGCUAGUGUUGUGGCGAGAAGGGUCAUUUUAUUGCUGAGUGCGUGGCUGAGUUAUGUGAUACUUGUGGCAAGCCGGCACAUGACUCGGGGGAUUGUCCGCUUCUGCGAGAUCAGGCACCGUCUCUAAUGAUGUAUGGAGUGUAUUGUGCUGAACUCACGUUUUUUGUGUCUCCUAAUGAGAGGGCGGUUCCUCACGAGACCCAGAGCAUGACCACUGGGAUUGUCAAAGUGACCAGAGGAGAGCUCUCUAAGACACAGAUUAUGUAGAGGCUCCGGGAGUUAGCCCCUGUGGACUUCCAGUGGGAGCUCGUCAGUCUCGCGGAAAAUUUGUUCAGGGUUAAGUUCCCUUCGGUAGAAGAUUUGCAGAGGCUUCUGAGUUUUGGGAUGUGCAAAGUGACGGGUACAGAUUGUAUCCUUGAGUUUCAUGAGUGGAAGCAGGUGGAGCCUCAGGGUAAGCCGCUUACUCAGGCGUGGCUGCGUUUCUCCGGGGCUCGCUCGAAGCCGAUGCAGGAUGCUAGAGUCGUGGCUAGUUUGGGCAUUAUGGUGGGGAAGCCUGAGCGAGUGGAUAUGGCUUUUACCAGAGCUCACGGGGUAUCUCAUCUAUUGGUUAGUAUUUUGGACAUUGUGUACGUGCCUAAGGUCGUCAAGUGGACAUAUCGAGGCCAAAUUUAUAACCUUGUGAUUGAGUUUGAGGAUGAGAGCCCGUUCGCCGAGGCGGCUAACAGGACUGAUGUUGAUAUGCACGAGGGAGAUGAUAGCGCGGGAGCGAAGGAGACACCGGUCGAUGAUACUGGACAAGAGUUGUCCAAGGGACCGGGAUCCGGGGCAGGCGGUGGAGGUUCCGGUGGUGGAGGUCUUCUCUUUGGGAGGGGACCCGGGGCAGGCGGCCUCGGUUCUCUCUUCUCCCAUCGCGUUGUCGGAGCUGCAGGUGGCGGCUUCGCCGUCGGGAGGGGGCUCGGGGCAGGUGGCCUCGGUGCCCUCUUCACCUGGGGCGCCUAAGGUGGCCGCCCCUCCUGUGCUGGGUGGGGAGUUCGGGCAGGUGGCCCACGCACUCCCCUCCCCUGGUGCGCUGCGGUCUCCAUGCUGUGGGGCGCGACUAACGUCUGCGGCACUGGCGAGUGCCUCACCGCUUCCUGGUGUUACCGCUGGGGCGUCCAUGGAGGCUGACCGGCGUCGCGUUUGGGGUGAGGCAGGAGGUCCAACCACGGGCAGGAUCUCUCGGGAGGAGGUUAUAACGUUUGGAGGGAUUCCGGAUCCGGUUUCUCAGGGGCGACGGUUGAGCUGCCGUCUCUAGAAUCAUCCGGAGGUUGAUGACAUUCAGCAGCGGUGCACCAUGAGGGCGGCCAAGCUUCGUGACGUUGAGGUCACUACUGGUAUGUCGGUUAAUACAUCUAAUUCCAUUUUGCAUUUUUCUAAUAAUGAGAUUAGUAAUAAUGCAAACCAAUUAGGAGUUUCACUAGGUAGUAAUGAUAGUGAAAUUUCGAAUUCUGUUAAUGAUCUCCUGGAUUUAGAGGCUCAGCGGGCUUUAGAGAUGAUUCGUAACUUAGCAGCGGUUAACCCCAUGAAUGAUUCCGACUUUGAUGCUUUGGGGGUCAGGGUGCUCGAUAAUUUUUGUGCGAAUCUUAUACCUCCCCUACCUGAGUCGGAGGAGGAGGAUGAUACAUCUGAGUAUGUCGUGGUUAGACCUUCUGAGACUGGUUGUGAGGACCCGCUGCAGAGUCAGAACAUUCCUAAACGCAAAUGUAUCGGAAGGUUUACCCGGUGUCCGCAGUGCGUAGGAGUGCUAGGAUCCAUACAGCAAAAAAAAUUCCAUGAUGAAUUAUGAAAGGAAUCUUUUCGAAUAGUAAAGUCGAACGCAAUGAAGUCAUGGGCACGAAGAACAAGCGCACUCACAAGUGGAGCGUGUGGCCGCCGGUAUCGGUCGCCGGGCCCGGUGGGGUAUGCUGGUGCAUCUGAAACUGCAUGGCCACGCGGUGUGGCAAGUGCCACUCGACGGCGUACACACAGAUCAUGGGCACAAUGCACCGCCAAAGACCACUGUCCGCAUCGCACAUCACAUUCAAAUCGAAGUCCCACUCUCUGUCAUCAUACGGCCACCAGUUUACCUAUUACACAUACAUUGGUAAGUUCCCACUCUCAGUAAAAAGUGGAAUCAAAGAGAAAGGUGGUGAGCAAGUUCAUAUACCUGUGUAUGCAUCAAAGCGUCCAUCUCGUUGGUGUAGGUCUUGUACAAAGCCUUGUUUAGGCCCUUGUAGAGUUUGAUAACGUCCCACUCGUAAGCUACGGUGGGGUGUCGAGUCUCCUCGCCGUCUUCGCUAUAGGCACCCCAUGGGCGUCUUGGCAGCUUCUCCGGACGCCCCACCGGCAGCCGCUUCCACAUCAAAAUGGAGAGGGCCCAGACAAAGCCACCCAUACUGGACUUGUCUCCCGUCCUCUGGGUCGCGUCGUCAAGCUGCAAAACAUCAAAUGAGGAUCAGAUAUAACAAAAUGUCAUGGACAUACUUUCGUAGGUAGGCAAUGAGAUACUCUCUUAACGAACGGUAUAGGUAGGCGAGAGAUGCGGUCCCCCAACUGUACCCUGCAUCGCAGUCGGCUAGGAAGAGCAGAUAUGACCAGUUGGCAGAGUUCCUGGAGCUGUCUAGAAACACGACUUCCGUGAGAAGAUACCAUAGGUAGGCCCACGCGCACCACUCCAUAGUCGCCUCAUCGGCGUCUUUGGGGCAUGUGUUCCGGUGCUCCACGAGCCAGGGCAACGAUACACCGGAUGUAUGGUUACCCUUAGCACCGGGGUAGUCGCUGAUGAGGGUGGUAACCCUCUGCUGCCAGUUGGUCCUCUCCACUCGCUCAGUGAGUGCUUGACCCUCGAUCGGCAUGGAAGUAAUCAUCUACCAAUCCUCGAGGGUCACCGUCAUCUCCCCGCAUGGGAGAUGGAAAGAAUGGGUCUCCGGUCGCCACCGGUCAAUCAAAGCUAUCAGAGCUGCGUGGACAAGCGUCGGCGGCUGACGCUUGAACUGCAACACGAAACCCAACAGCCGGGCUCUCUUGAAGUACGGCGCAUAGAGCUCGUCGUAGUCCAUAUUCCCGGCAACCCCGUGACACCUCAUGCGCAGUGGCUGGAGCAUCUAUCAAAAAGUGGAUUGCAAAAGUUAGGAACUUAUUUUCAUCAAUCCAAAAACUUUGAUCAAUAUUUCCUUCAUAUACUUACCACUCUAUUCUCUAUGAAAUGGGCAUGAUGACCCUUGUCGAAUGCGUAGGCAAGCAUGGAGUACCAUGUUGUCCGCAAGAGGUGCCUGCCUUAAUAAAAUUUCAUAAACAAAAGCAUCAUAAGCAUAAGCAUACAUAAAAAAAAUGAAAUUUCUUGAUUUCAUGCACUAGGGUUCAUCUUAAGCAUAUUCCUCCAAUAACAUCUUCUACACAUGAUGGAUCACAUCAUAUCAACAUGCACCAUAUCAAAAUAAAAUCCUCCAACAUGCAUCAUAUUAUCAUUUUUUUAACAAUUUUUUUAAUAGAGUUCAUCUUGAAUGUAUUUUCUCCAAACAACAUCUUCAUAUCAUCAUAUCAACAUGCAUGAUAAAACAAAACAAUCCUCCCACAUGCAUUACAUCAUAAUUUUUUUAACAAAAAAUAUAUUAUGAACUAGGGUUCAUCUUCACACUAACAAAUGAACUAUUGAUUAGAGUUCAGUUCAAGACCACUAGUUACUAAAUAACUAAGAACUAGAACUACAAUCAAGCUAAAACAAUCCUAGGUGAAAAAAAUUCCAAUCUAAAUUCAAAAAUCUGAGGGAUUUCAAGCAAAUAAUGCGACGAAUCGGAAGCAAGUUUGCAAAAACUACUUGGAGGGAUCGGAGGAGCUUACGUUUCUCUCUCCGGGGCCAUCUCGAUCCGCAAAAACGAUGAAGAAACGGUGAAGAUCCGAGGGGGGAGUGGAGGAGAUGAGAGAGGGAGAGAGGGGCGAGGNNNNNNNNNNNNNNNNNNNNNNNNNNNNNNNNNNNNNNNNNNNNNNNNNNNNNNNNNNNNNNNNNNNNNNNNNNNNNNNNNNNNNNNNNNNNNNNNNNNNNNNNNNNNNNNNNNNNNNNNNNNNNNNNNNNNNNNNNNNNNNNNNNNNNNNNNNNNNNNNNNNNNNNNNNNNNNNNNNNNNNNNNNNNNNNNNNNNNNNNNNNNNNNNNNNNNNNNNNNNNNNNNNNNNNNNNNNNNNNNNNNNNNNNNNNNNNNNNNNNNNNNNNNNNNNNNNNNNNNNNNNNNNNNNNNNNNNNNNNNNNNNNNNNNNNNNNNNNNNNNNNNNNNNNNNNNNNNNNNNNNNNNNNNNNNNNNNNNNNNNNNNNNNNNNNNNNNNNNNNNNNNNNNNNNNNNNNNNNNNNNNNNNNNNNNNNNNNNNNNNNNNNNNNNNNNNNNNNNNNNNNNNNNNNNNNNNNNNNNNNCUACCGCCAGGGACCCUGGUGGUUGGGUGCGGCGGAGGGGGACGGUGGUCGUCUCCAAGUGCUGACGUGGAUUAGAUCCCUGGCGGUAGGAUGUCUAACCCUACCGCCAGCACCCCUGGCGGUAAGAAAAAGGGUCAAAUCCCAAAAUUGUUUUCAACCGGGGUCAGAUCCUGAAUUGAUAUACAACAAGGAUCAAAACACGAAAUUUUGCCACCAAUGCUAGCCCAGAAUACACGCGCUGGAAAGGCUCUAGGGGGGAGGGGGGAGCAUGCGUGAAUACAGGGCCAGCUCGGAUCCCAAGCGCGGACGGGCGGUCAGGAUUCCGGCCUGCCUGAUGCUCGGCCUCCACAACACAUGUUCAGGUUGAGCUUAGCACUGCAUUGAGGUGCUCCGUUCAAGAUUCAACUUGGUUGGAGAUCCGUCUGCCUGCCUGCCUGCCGUUUGUCAGCUCACACUACUAGGGAAAAGGCUAUACACAGAAUCUUAGCAGGAGCGAGGGUUAAAAACCCUUGCUACUGCUACUUACUAGCAGCGUAGGUUUUUAAACCUCGCUACUACUAAGUUGAUAGCAGCAGCGCGGGUUUGUAACCCUCGCUACUACUAAGCGGUCUCUACCGUGCCCCCCGGGAUAUGCCAUAGUAGUAGCGCGGGUUUUUAACCCUCGCUACUACUAAGUUGAUAGCAGUAGCGCGGGUUUUUAACCCUCGCUACUACUAACCCGCGCUACUGCUAUCAACUUAGUAGUAGCGUGGGUUAAAAACCCGCGCNNNNNNNNNNCCUUUUCAGUUUUAAAAAAAUAAAAGAAAAUGAUAAAAAUGUCAAAAAAAUAAAAGAAAAUAAGUUUCCCAUGUGAUAUGUGGUCUAGUUGUUGGGAAAAUUUACAAAUAUGAAUUUCGACUUUAUUUGCAAAAUCUCUCUGGAAAUUUGUAAAAUGGCCAUAACUUUUGCAUACGAACUCGGAUGAAAAAGUUUUUUAUAUGAAAAAUCAUCUACUCGAAAAGUUACAUCCGAAUUUAAUCGGGGGAACCCCGUUAAACAUUUUUAAAAUCCUCAAAAGCCUAACAGAAAAAAAGUUACGGGGCUUUUAAGAUCUGGGGGCAAAAAAAUUCAAAAAAAAUCAGUUUUUUUUUAAUUUUUGCUAAAUCUGGUCAAACUAUGGUCAAACUAAUUAUUCAAGAAUAUUGGUGUUACUAAAUAAUUAUUUUAGUUUUUUGAAUUUUGGUCAAAUCUGGUCAAACUAUGGUCAAACUGUGUUCAAAUCUGGUCAAACUGUGGUCAAACUAUGGUCAAACUAAUUAUUCAAGAAAUAUUAGUGUUACUAAUUUUUUAGAACAAUAGUUUCAAACUCAAACAGUGAAAUGUGUGACUUCAUGCUCAAGCUAAAUUCCUGAGGUUAAUAGGAUUGACAUCUUACUAUUGUCAGGAAAACAACAAGUGCAGACUUGGAAACGAGGGAGAAUAGAACCCGGAAGUUAAGCGUGCUCAGGCUGGAGUAGUGAGAGGAUGGGUGACCAUCCGGGAAGUUAGAUGAUUUGGAAUGAUGAGGGGUGAUUAGAGAUUAAAUUGAGCAGCGAUGAGGGGUGAUUAGAGAUUUGAGGUUAAAAUAAUUCAGAAAUUUGAAAAUUAGGGGAAAAAAUUCAAAAAAAAAAUUCAAAAAAAUUAAAAAAAAUUCGGAGAUUACAGAUUAGUAGUAGCGCGGGUUUCUACCCACGCUACUGCUAUAAGUUAGCUGUAGCGCGGGUUGCACCCGCGCUACUGCUAUAAGUUAGCUGUAGCGCCUUAUUAGUAGCGCGGGUACCCGCGCUACUAAUAGGCCCAAAACCCGCGCUGCUGCUAGGCUUUUCCCUAGUAGUGUCAAAUGGGGUACUAUGGAUGAAUUUCGCCUGUCAAAAAGGACAAAAGAGGAGGCAAAAAAUAAAUAAUGGAAUUAACUCUAAAUCACCACUCGGCGGAGUGAAUAGCAAAAAACUACCACAUUACGAGUCAUCGUUCCAAAAAACCUACCGCUUUUUUAAUAUUUUCAAAAAACUACCACAAAAUUGUUUUGCUGUUCCAAAAAACUACCAUGCCGCACUGAUGACUACUUUGGUUAACUUUAAACGUUAUUAUGACAGCUCAGGUCCACUCGUCAGGUUGACUGUUUGAUUUGACCGUUAGUUUGACCAUUGACAGUUUAUGACAGGUGGGGCCUAAGUAUCUAUUUAGCAAAUAGGUCCCUGAAACAAAAUAUAAAAGCAAUCGGGUCCCUGAUUUUUUUAAAAAAAGCAAUCCCGUCCUCCCGUGGAGCUCGUCGCCGGAGCCGGCCAGCACCACGCCGACGAGCUCGUCAGGGCCGUCCAUCUCCGGCCGUGGCCGGCGGGGAGCAGCAGCCGCGGCGGGCUGGAACCGCCCGAGCUCCCUGGUUGCUUCCCACCUGUGCUCGAUCUCGCGGCCAGCGGCGGGGCGGCUGCUCAAGGCCAGCGGCGGGCGGACCUAAGCAGGCGGCGGCGCGUCCCUGGCGUGGUGGUGGUCGGCCCUGGCGGCGGAGGCCAUGGCUGCGCCCGCCGUGGUGGUGGCCGGCCCGGAGGCGCUCCCCAUGGCAUGGUGGUGGUCGGCCCUGGCGGCGGCGGCCGUGGCUGCGCCGGCCGUGGUGGUGGCCGGCUCGGAGGCCCUCCCCAUGGUGUGGUGGUGGCCGGACCAGGCGGCGGCGGCGGCCGUGGCUCCGCCGGCCGUGGCGCUCGGGAUUGAGAGAUAAGGGAGAGAGGGAGGGGAGAGAAGAGAGAUAAGGGAGAGAGAAAGAGAUUACUUACAUGUGGGACCCAGCUGUAAGUUAACGGUCAAACAAACAGUCAACAAACGGUCUGUUUAGGAGCGGGCCCGACCUGUCAUAAACGUGAUUAAUUUUAAGUCAGAUGGUCAUUUGGGUUUUUUGGAACAGCAGAACAAUUUUGUGGUAGUUUUUUAAAAAGAUUAAAAAAGCGGUAGUUUUUUAGAACGAUGACCCGUAAUGUGGUAGUUUUUUGCUAUUCACUCCCACUCGGCGUUACAACAAGAAGGGAAGGUGGUCUUAGUGAGGCUCGAGUACGUACGAUUGGUGGAUGAUCAAUUACGGCCACAUGCCCACAUCCAUGACAUGUGCCCACUGAUCAACUUGGCCAACGACACUAGCUGCCCGUUGUCGGCCUGCACAUCGAAUCCACGACGAGACGAGACGAGCUCGCCAUCGACGCGACACGACACAGACGAUUGGUGGAUUUCAGAUACUCGAUGGCCAAGUUGACCAGUGGGCGGCGCCGCCGUCAUUGGAAGCGAAGAAACUGCAGCACCCUGGCAGGACAGCAGCGUCACCGAGCUGAGCUGGUGGACGACAAGCUGCAGGUGGAGAUCGUGUCCCCUACCGGAGCAGAUCGUGUCAUCAACAGGUUGUAAGUGAUGGCAUCCGUUCACGUCGCCGCCAUGCCGCACUUCCUCUUCGUGCGCCGGCCGGCCGGGGUCCGCGUUCAUCCAGACGGGACGCAGUAGUAGCAGAGUUCCUUCACCCUGUUGCUUGCAGACUAGUUUUGCUCUUCGGGGGAGGCCUACUCUACUUGAGCUAGUACAUGACGCUUCAGUUUGACAGAGAAAUCAGAGGAAAAGUAUGGGUAGCUCGCUGGUAGUUAAUGACAGCAAGCCUGGCCAUUGAACAACAUGCAGAAAUACAUGGCCAUGUUUGAAUAAUUUGGGCACCCAUCAAAAUGGAGGAGGUUGACAAGCACAAAAGUUACGUUCAAUACAUACUGGGGAUCAGCGUCGACAACAGAACAACAUUCAGAGUUCAAGAGUAUAAAGCAACAGAACCGACAACACAACAACAUCCAAAGUUCAAGAUCCAAAGUGCACCGACAACAGAACAGCAUCUAAAGUUCAGCAUCCAAAGUUCAAGAUCCAAGGUGCACCGACAACACAACAGCAUCUAAAGUUCAGCAUCCAAAGUUAAAGAUCCAAGGUGCACCGACAACACAACAACAUCUAAAGUUCAGGAUCCAAAUUGCACCGACAACAGAAGGAUCCAAAGUUCAAGAGGCAAGUGCGACAAGUAAAAAUAAAUAAGUCUUGCUGAGGGCACAGCACAACAAACCCAUACAUAAAACAAUAGCGCUAGUCAGGCUCCGGACGGGGCGGUGUAGCGGAGCUCGGCGAUGAUCCUGUCGAUGCUGCCUCCAAUGCUGUAAGAAGCCACAAAUUUUGCAUAUCGCGUCAGUAGUCGCUGGAAGGUAUCAUACAAGGUAAACAUGCAUGGAAAUGCGGAAGAGUUUGAUUGUGAAUGUGGUCAAUUUCAAUUUCACACAUGGGCUUGCUUUGCAGCCAUGUGCUUAAGGCACCAGUGGCAUUUUUAAGUUUGAUGUUCCAAAACUGCCAACCUGCACUUCGUUGUUCAUUACAGGUGCUUGACUUCAUCCGUGUCAAGGAAAUUCCAGCUAAGCAUAUACCGUAUAGUAAAACGGUGGACCAAAGAUGCUCGCGACAUUCUCUUGGCACACCUUUCCCAUUCCCAGAGGGAUAACAUGGAUCCUAGCCUCUUCUCUUAUUAUGGACACUUAAGCAUGUAUAUGCACGCAAUGGAGAGUUGGUUUGACUCGGUGACACUAGUACCAAUGCUUAUGAUCUGCUCAUCGCCUUGUUCAAUUCUAAUAUUGCGGAAAUGCAACCAUAUGCUGAAACAAGAGAUGGACCAGGACUGGAAGAUCGUCUAGCAGAAAAUGGAGCAAUGGUGCAGCUGGAUAAAGAAGUAAUACAGCGCGGCACUAAAGUUAAACCAGCAGCUGCAGUUAGUGGAGACAACCUUUCAGUUUUUAUGCCUGGAAACAGGUUAGCUUAGAACAGGGCACCCGCAAAAAGGAAAGAGAUUGGGAAACCAACCGCAAGUAGAGAGAAGACCCCAUACGAAAUGCUUAGAAUGAGGACAAGGUUCUGCACAAUAUGUGACAAGACAAUGACAAAGAAACAAGCAAACUACCUGCCUGGGGAAAUAUUCUGAAGCAACCACGCAAACCUACUCGCUGCGAGUGUAGAGGGUCACUGGAGAAACAAUUGUACAAAAGCUGGCUAAAUAGAGACUGGGUGCAGGGGCUUGAGUUUUACAAAGAGUCAGCACUGAUGCCAAAUAGUUAGACAGUAGGAAUCGAAUUCCCUCCAGUUGUGCAUUGCAAAGGGUUCUUUGUUAUCUUGUAUGCUGAGUUGUUGGGCGUAAUUCCAACCUGGGCAACCGAGUUGUUUAUUGAAAUUUGACAGCAAUGGCAUCCUGAAACUAACAUUUUAGAGUAAAAGUACUUGCAUGUGAACAUGCGUGUGUUAUUUGUGCUGUAAUGAUCCCUUAAUCCCUGUGUGGACAAAUAAUUUGAUGCUGGAAUUUGCUCUGUAUGGCUUAACGGGACUGAUUUGGUACAUGUAUUUUAGACUGAAUGAGGGUUGAUGUGCAUCUAAAUCUUCAUGUCCCAUUUGUACGUGGCAGUGCCAGUCAUGUGUGUUGUAGACAUAAAUUGCUUAGGAUCAAAUCCGUGCCCUGUUCCGAAUUAUGAGCCAACAGACAUUUUUUUUAGGGCUAGACAACGAACAGUUGGCGGCGAGGAACACACGGUAGAAGGGUCAGAAUUGGUAGAAAAUGGAUCGGCUCAUUAGUUUUCCAUCUGUCACGAUAGAAAAUGGACCAAAUUAAUAGCAUACCUUUCCUCCAUUAGAUCACCCGCUAGGACCUGCACAUUAAAAAUGCAUAUUAAGCAACAUAAAAAUGGCACAGUCUAUUAAUCAAGUCUAAGCUAAGCUCACAAAUCGAGGUAAAAGACUAAGUCACUGCCACUCCACACACCUUCAAUAGCCGUCGAGUACAAGAUUAUGAUUGUCCAUGACAAGACGAGACCAAGCGACAACUAUCUCCACUUUGGAGCUGCCAACAUGACACUUAAGCAUAGUUGUUUGACACUGCUGGACAGGAAAGUCAACGUGAUUUAUUCGAGAGAUACUGGGUUUGGACUUUGAGUAUGCUCCUAUGACAACUCGGAGUGUGCCCUGCAAUCCCACUGACAUCACAUUUCUUGACAAAGGAAGAUACCCAUCUAAUCCAGCAUGCAUCCUUUCACCACUGCAGUCAAGCAAAACAACUUCCACGGCGCUUCCCAACAAUGCUUCAACAGGAAAAAAGAAGCAAGAAACUUUGCAUCCAUAGUUAAAAGACUCCCCUUCAACCACACGAACACCAACAAUUGUGGCCUGGAUUGAUGGAGCAAAUCGCUCAAGACUUAUCUCUGCUGUACAACAGCGGCUAUUGAUCAGCAUGAUGUCAUACCGCUUCAUGGGGCGGUACCUUUGAUAGGCAGUGAACAAUGCUGUAUCUUUGAACUGCGCUCCAUAUUUCAAUUUUAAUUCAAUUUGAAAGAAAACAGGCUCGUCAGCCACAAUUGCACGAGAUGGGCCAGUCAAGUGCAAAAAGGGGUCCUGCACGCAUAAUUUUCAUCAUUGUCAUCAUUGUCAGUGACACAUCAAGCAAAAUAACAACUAAAAUGCAGUUCAGUUUAACUAGACAUAGCCUAGCAGAGACAUCACAUGGCCAUAAUCUGGCAAUAAUAUGAAGGAAAGAGUUCUCAAACAGAUCAUAGCCUAACAGAGAAAGCACAUGGCCAUAAUUUGGCCAAAAUAUGAAGGGAAGAGUUCCCAAACAGAUCCUAGUAAUCUUUGCUGCUAUAAUACAAAGUUUUGAAUUUAGAUUUAGAACAAGCAGCUUCUGCUUUGUGUUUAUAGUGUGCUUUCUUGAACACUGGCUACCGUACACUUGAACAAACAGACCAGUCAAAAAAUAGACGAGAAGAUAGACAUUAUACAUACCUCUUGCUUAAUUCUUUGGCAGUUUUCCCCUGAACGGCAGAAGAGAAUGUUGCGGUUGUGGUCAAGAUCGUCCCGUGCGGCGACCACGCCGUAGACAUCAAGAGGCCAGCUCAGAUUAGGAUUGAGAUCAACCAGUUUGAUCGAGUAUACUUGCAAGGCAGGACCAGCUACGGAAGGGAACCGGAAGUUUUCGGGCGUGGAGGCCGUGAAGUGCAUAGAACUCAAUGUUGCUGCAGAACAAAGUAAAAUGAUUGCGGACUGUUAGAAAAUAUGCUACUAAAUUUAGCAAAUACAAAUCUAUGCGUAUAAAAGAACAAUUUUUUUUUUGCAGUGAUAUACAAAGACGGAGUUGCAUUUAUUAACUGAGGCCCAAGUAAAGAGAGUAGAAAACAGUUUUUUUUUUUGCUUACUUAUGUCAUCAAAUCCACCGUUUCUUCCGGUCCGGCUGCCCCACGUAGCCUCCCAGCCGUCACGGUCCAAACAAUCUUCAACGUCCUUUUGAGCAGCAGAUUUGUGGCUCUUUAUAAGCUCCGAUAUGCCCACAAGUGCAGUGGAUAUGCGGCGCAGCUUUUCAACCUUCUCCGAUGAGAUGGGGACUCUGAAUGUUUUUAGAGUGGAUGCGAGAGAGGUGAAGCGGAAGAGCAGCUGCUGCGUCUCGACUAAGAGAAAAUCCAUUACCUCCUCCCCAGUCUUGGAACCUAGGUAAGGCAAAUUCACCUCCUUGACCUGUUGCGUGAACAUCUCCUUGAACUGGACGGACAAGUUGGAAAUCUGCUCUUGAGAAACCUUUUUCUUUCCAGCAGGCAACAACCCCCUGGACGUGACUUCUCUCAUCAGAAACGAGAUCUCCCUCCUAAACAUCCCAAGGUGGCCAGAAAGAGCAACAACCAAGUCGUCGUUCGGCAUCUGCCCAAUCUCCAUGCCGCCAGCCGGCUCCUUGCUGGAAUCCCUCACCGUCCCCUUGCUGAUUCCAAAUUGGGGCUCCAUACUUAGGGACUGGUGCUCCUCCGAAUCUCUGCCCAUCUCAUCGCCAGAAUCGGAGUCAACCUCCAUCCCGGACUGCCCCUUCAUCCUGAGGAGUCGUUGCUCGUCGGACAAGACUGCCUGCUGCUGAUGCAAGAGUGCCCUCCGCGUCGCCGGGUCCUUGGCGGACUCGCUCAGCAUCUCGAGUCUGUACCGAGCCUUCCUGAGACUCUUGAGAUCUUUCCUAAGUCUCCUCUCAUACUCCGUCCCCUUGCUGGACUCGUUCUCCGCCACUUCCCUUAUGGGAAACGUUGGGUACCGGCGGAUCGGCCGAAGCUUCGGCCGGUCGCGCACGCACCGCUCGAUCGUGUAGUCAUCCACGGCUCAACAUCUCCCGAUCCAUGUUUGCAUCGCUGGCUUUCUCUUUCUUGGCCCAUCACGUGCCCGUGGCCCAGCACGUACAGCCGCUUGUUCAGCCUUCCUCGUAUCUUCUUCACACGAGGAGCGCACUGGUUGCUCAAAAAAAAAAAAAUCAAGGAGCGCACCCAGGUCGUCUUCAAAGCUUUAUCUUUCACCAACUGCUCGCUGAAGCUUCGAGGUGGGUUGGGGAAAGAGCUGCAACAACAACCCGAUGAAGCUGCAUCCGUUUGUCGGCUAUGUUGUGACCGUGGCGACCAUGGCCAUGCCCACAUCAUGAUGGCGCUGUUAGCUCGAGGGCCGGUGGGGUGCUGCGUGUUGUGACUGUGGUGAUUGUGUGUUGGACCAACGUCGUGGCGUGCUGGAACCAGUGACAAUUUUUGCUGCAUCGCCUCAUGGUGGAGCUAGGACGCGACGACAAGGACAACAAUUUUUGUUGCAACUGUCGUUCAAUUUUGCUACAAUCGAUGAGAAAAUUUGCUACAUAAAUUAAUGCCAGAGAUGCAACCUGGGACGACAACAAGGACAAUUCUUGUUGCAGCUGUCGUUGGAUUUUGCUACAAUCGUUGACAAAAUCUGCUACAUCUCUCGUUAUUUUUCUGCUACAUAAAUCUUUAUUUUUUCGCUUCCUUCUUCCUAUUGCCUCGUUGCUUCUUUCCUCUCUCGUUAGGCUGCAAGCAUCUCCUUUCUCACGCACCUCAAACUGUUCCCCUGCCGAUGCUACAACUGGACAGAUCUUUUGCUGGAAUAUGUGGCAAUUUUUGCUGAAAUCGGCGUUGCUUUUUGCUGCGUGUGUGCUGCAACCAGAUCUAUGCAACCGGAAAGCUGAAACUGGCACGUGAGAAAGUAACAACCGUCCAUGAAAAAACAUCAACCGGCUAUGGCUGAAGCCGGCCAGUGCUGCAACCAUUGGCAGAAAAAGGUUCAACCGUAUAUGAAAAAGCUUCAAUCAGGCACUAUGCAGCGAAAAAAGGUGCGACCAUAGAUGAAAAAAGCUUCAACCGGACAGUGCGCAACAGAAAAAGUUACAACCAUUGAUAGAAAAAGCUUCAACCGUAGAUGAAAAAAGCUUCAACCAAAGAUAGGCAAUGAAAAAAAACUACAUAAAGGCUCUAGUUUCCACGGAAGCUGCAACCGGCGUCGGCGGGUGCUGCAACUGGCGAAGACCAAUGCUACAGCAGCGAUGGUGAAGCUGCAACCGUGCAGUUCAUAGCUACAACCCGACAUGAAAAAAGCUGUGAGCGAGCAUGGAAGCUACGACCGGUGAUGAGAAAAAGCUACAACCGUCGAGCACGGAAGCUGCAACCGGCAACAAAAAAGGUACCACCGACUAGCCCAGAAGCUACGACCGGCGUGCAAAAAAGUUUCAACCAUCGCGUGAUUUUAUUGUAGCUAGCCCAAGUCUGUUUACGAGAGCUUCCACCUAGAGUUUCCCGACGCGAAUCCAGUUGAAGCUAGCUCAUCGUGCAUGUGCUACUAUAGAUCGGUUAAGCUGCUUGCCUGCUUGCUUGCACGCUAGCUUUGCACGUACGACGUACACUCUUAGCGUUAUAGAUCCAACAUGGAGCGUGGUUUUGGGCGUGUGCAGGCGGCACGGCUAGUCGAAGACGAGCGCCAGCGGGUGCCGGUGGCCGACGAGCGCCGGCGGGUGCCGGUGGCCGACGAGCGCGAGCGGCACGUUCGUCCGGCGAACUGUGCGGGGUUUUUUUGUUUUUGUUUUGUUUGCCUACGUUCAGGUCAAAGCUUCAGGUCAAACAGACGAGAAAAUCUAAUGACACGUCUUGAUCCAACGUGCGCGUGCGGACCGGCCGAAAUUUGGGCCGGUCCGCCGGCGCCUAUUGUUGCCCUUCCCUUAUUCGCUCUCCGACUUAUUCGCUCUCCGACUUAUCCUUUGUUUUUUCUUUCGUUAGCAAUCGGUUAGUUUUUUUUUCAGAAAUAUUCAUCGGUUAGUUAGUGCUCAUAGAUUGUCUUUUCUUUAAUUCUCAAUUCUCAAGUCCCUUUGAGUUUUUUCUUAGGGUUUAGUCGAUUUCUUAAACUUUUAAAAUAAAUAAAAUUAUAAGAAAAACAUUAUAAUGGCGUCUGUUAGGCGUCGGCCGGCCUGCCGAAACUUUCUUCCUUCCCUAACUCCUCGCACGCACACCAGCACCCCUGCACAAAACACGUGUGCGAGGGUAUGUAGUGCCCACCAUUGCAAUCGAUGAAGAGCACGAGGUUACGCACGUGGAUCGCCACGACCGAGCCGUCGCUGAAUUUCACCGUGCCGGCGACGACGCGGCGGUCAAGCUCGUUGAAGCAUGCAUCAUUGGCGGACAAGUGGUUGGAGGUACCCAUGUCCAAGUACCACUUGGAGUCGUACUCCUCCUUAGUACGUCCGACGUGAACCUUGGCAUGUUCCUCAACGAGGUUGACAUAGUCAUCGGUGAUGUCGUGGUCGUCAGUGAUUGUGCACACCUACGCCAUGAGGAAGGUUUGGUUCUCAUCAUUCGUGCCCUCCGCCUGAGCCAGGUGUGCCUCCUCCCUCUUCUUGUCAUGGAAAUCCAGACCCCAAGUGGCGUAGGAUGCCACAAUAUCUGCACUCAUCCGCAACCCGCAGCGAGCUACAUGUUCUUGCUGCCACCACGCCAAGUAUCGCGGCCACGACCGUGUUCUGUGCCGCGCCAGCCUUUUACCUGGCACCCUACAGCUCGAGGUGCCAUGACCCUAGGAUCGAGCGGCCCUCUCCUCCUUAGUAUGCGGGAGGCGACUGAUGCCAGGUUUGGCCUGGUCGAGCUCGUGUCUCUCCUCGGUGGCCGUGUUUUUCCCACAUGCAGCUCGACCGUGCUCCUUCAACAUUUUCAAAACUGAGGUGAUCUACGUCACCUCAGAUGCUGUCCGGCAUCGGAGCUCGGCUGCAAGAAGACACAGGUCGGGGGAAAGUUCUCAUUGAAUCAGUUUCAAUAACAGCAACCAAAGAUGACAAGCAGCUCAGAUAGGCCGAGGUGUGGUCAGACUUGAAGACCAGUCUAGGGGGCCUCUCACCUAGUCGACUCCUGAUCAGUUGGGUUAGGUUGAGGGCCCCCUGUCGGUUCCAUCCUGGUCCACUUUGGGCCGCCCAUGCCAAUCUACAAGAAAAAUCAAGAAGUCUUACGGUUCAAGAUAAGGACUCCUUAUUCGUGGAGAACUACUCACCACCAAUGUAGCUGACUAGGACUCCUGUAAUACUAGACCUCUAGCAAAUUAUACUCCCUCCGUCCUAAAAUAAGUGUCUCAACUUUAGUACAAAUUUGUACUGAAGUUAGUACAAAGUUGAGACACUUCUUUUGGGACAGAGGGAGUAUAAACCAGGGCUAAGCUAAUGGAUAGAUCAUUAAAACUUGGAUCAUUAGAUCUAGACACAUAAUGAUCUCAUGGUAGAUCACAUUGUUGAAUAUCAUCUCCUCCUUUGUGGCUUUCGCUUUGACGCGGUGAUUUUGCCGCGUCACCGAGUUGAUCUUCCGGGCUCAUAUCCUCCAGCACCUCCACCACGUCCUCCAUCUCCGGCAGGCUAUUCUCCGGUUCCAUGCAGCGGCGGCGGCGGGAGGAAAUAAGAGAGUGGGAAAGAAGGGCUGGAAUUGGGUGAAGAGCGGUGGGGUGGAAGAAGAGAUUGGAGAUUUUGCCACGGAAACCGGACGGGCAUCUACAAAAGCACGGUCUUUGCCUUCCUUUUGGGUGGGCAGGAGGUGGCGGAGUCCUACGCGCCUGUUGUUCGGACUCCCGCAAAAUCCCCCCACGUGUUAUUCCAGUUUGCCAAAAAAAGUGUUCUAGACCGCUCGGCAGACCGAUACAAGCCGGAGUUGGAUGGCGAGGUCUGUACGUAUUCCGGCAGUUUGAGAGUCGAUGUUGGAGAUGCCCUUAGUGUAUGUUCCCGGUUAAUUAUCAAAAUAUACAAAGUUUGUAUUUACUCGACCAAACGUUCAGUCUAACUAAUGAGUUUGACUCUAUCACCAUGAGGGCCCGUUCAGCCCACUCUCGGCGGACUGAAUCUUCUCGACCACCGCGCCCAUGAGGGCCCGAUGCUCAUCGACAAUAGACGCGUUCUUCAACGAUGUCGAUAGACCGCCAGGCAGCUCUGCUCGAUCCCGGAACCCUAGAGGUCCCGGGGGCCGUAUCCAUCCCCGCGUGUCCGGCACCAGGGACAUGUCCUCCCUGGUCCGGGUCUUGUCGAGAUGACACCUCAGUGUCGCGCCCGGACUUUGGGGAAGGGGCCUGCGGAGGCGUCUCGCUCGCCAAGGCGUCUGAGCCUAGUGAAUCCUCCGACGAGGACCGGCCGGCACAGGACCUUGCCGCACUAUGCAAUAUGUAGGCAACAGUCAAAACUACUAUACCCGAAUAUGGAAAUCUGCUCUUGAGAAACCUUCUUGUUUCCAGCAGGCAACAACCCCCUGGACGUGACCUCUCUCAUCAGAAACGAGAUCUCCCUCCUAAGCAUCUCAAGGUGGCUAGAAAGAGCAACAACCGAGUCGUCAUGACCCAUCUUCAUGCCGCCGGCGUCUCUGGUCGUCUCCUUGCUGGAACCCCUCACCGUCCCCUUGCUGAUUCCCAAUUGGGGCUCCAUACUUAUGAGGGACCCCGAAUCCUCAUUGCCAGACUCGGAAUCAGAAUCCCUCUCAAUCUCCGGCUCCUUGAUGGUAUCCCUCUCGGUCCCCUUCCCUAACUCGAUUUCCAUGUUUUUUGUUUUUUUUUAUGAAAAGGGGUUCCCCCGCCCCAUUUUAUUAAUGAAGCAAAAUCCAAAACAGUCUUACUGAAAAAGAAAAGCAUCUCUCCAGGGGGACAUAGCACCCCAACGCAGAGUUCUAAAGUAGCUACUUAUUACAUCCCCAAGAAACAGGAAUCUGAGAUUAAACUAGAAGUUAGGCUCCAUCUUCCUGUUCUCCACGCUCACAUCCACGCAACCCUCAACAGUUCUCCACAGCGUCUGUCCAGCAGGUGAAUGCAUCGCUGCAACAACUUUGCCUGAGUGUCGUCGCAGAGAACUUUCCAUUGCAACAGAUAUAAGCUUAGUUUUGAUAGGACACAUCUGGCAUCUCUCCAGGUACGCCCGUGAAAACAAAAGUUGUUCCUUAGUUACCAAAUGCUCCAUAAGGAGGCAGCCACUACCAGGUUAAGCAUAGCAUCAUUCUUAUUGUUCUGCCAUAAGGCACAAAUGUCAUCAAAGCUAGACAUGCAUGGACUAUCAAAACAUUCAGAAAUGAAAUCCCAAAUCUGUUUUGCAACCACACAUUCAAACAUCAAAUGUACAACGGCGGGUGGGCCGGCUAUAGGGAUCUGAUCGGCGGCAUCAUACACAAAUACAAAGAUAAGGGCUCCUCUGAACCCUAGGCCUACGGUGCAUAUCUAAACCGAGGUCGGACUAGUCAAUAGAAAAUCAGAAUAUGCAUUACUACAAUCUCGUGAUAGAUACAUGUACUAUGUACUAUCCUCAUGUCAAUACAAUUAAAAGCAGGACGUAGGAUAUUAUCUCCUUGAGAGAGCCCGAACCUGGGUAAAAUCCUGUGUCCAUGUUACCAUUGCUCCAAGACGCUUAUCUUAGGAACCCUACUACGAAAUCUGCCGGUUUUGACACCGACACCCACCAUAUACACCACAUGAGAUGAGAGUUUUCAAGGAAGACUUGACAGACCGAAAGUCAACCCGUGAUGAAUAUUCAGAAGUUUAAUCUUUCAAUGUUGAACACAGGAGAUGUCUGAUGACGAUAGGACCCUGGAGUGUGAUUACUGCUACAAUGACCAUGGUUUGUGCGACAGGUAUCCUCACCUGCAAAAUGAUAGGUUUUUCACCGUGAAGUUGGACGAGACCUUUGAUGUUUGUACGGUACGCAACAACAAGUAUUUCAUCGUAAUUAGUAUCAUCACUUGUGCUUCUUUUGGUCAAUGUUUAAUUCCUGAGUUUUUUUUUCAAUUCGAUUAGUACAUCCCGUGCCAUGCAAUACCAUAUGUAUUGCAUAAGCUCGAUUUCAAAGACUCUGAGAAUGCGGAGACGAGGGGGGCUCAGUUAAGAACUAAACAUGAUUAUGUAUUUUUGGUUAAGCUGUUCAAUAUGGAAAAUCACUCCCAUUUCGGUUGCUCUAAUUGGGAAGCUCUCUGCAAGGCAUAUGGAUUUGACAAGGGUAUGCAAAUAACAUUUAAUAUUCGUCUCGAAGAAGAAGAUGAUGAUAAUAUCGAUAUCUUGGUGGAUGUGGAUGUGGAUAUGCCACCAGUUUUGCCUAAAUGUGAGUUUGUCAAACUAAUUUGUUAAGUUAACUAAUUUAUAUUGUUAAUUUAUAUUUUUUUGGUGUUCAUCAGUACUAAACAUCUUUAUUUAUAACCGUUAGCUUAUUUCGUAUCUUCCAAAAAUACUCAGAAUGCUAUAGACAGGACAUACUAUAGCUAUGACUCCGAUCUUAAUUGUGAGGAGAAAGGUUAUCUUGUCUCAUUCAUAGAUGAUGUUGAGGCCUUUAAAACCAAUCAUUCUAUCCUCCCAAAUUUUACUGGAUACGUGCCACUAGUCCAUAAUUUGCAUGAUGGUAACUCCAUUGCCAAAAACUUAGUAAGAUUUUGUUAAUGAUGUAACUUUAUUGCACACAUUCUUCUUAAGUAUAUAAACUACAUUGCUAACUAUAUAUGUUACUAUUACGUUUUUCAAUAGAGGCUCCCGAAGGAGGUUGUGCCUUACAUGCUGUUUACCCAAGGAUAUAUGCAUAUGGUUAGCUUACGACCAACUCCUUCGAAGGCUUACUAUAGUACAUACUCAAUUUCUUCAAAUGAUGGAAUGCUCAAAAUCAAAGAAUGGAGCAAAGUGAUGAAUGCGCACACGCAACUAAUUGGAGACAACAUGAAUGUGCGCAAGCCACAAGUUGGAGAUGAUGAUGAUGAGUUAUUAUAUCAUUGGGUGAAAGAACCACAGAUUAGUUUCAAGUGGAUGGAUCCAAAGUGACCAAGUCACGCUAAUCCAUGACUUGGUCACUUUGGAUCCAUCCACUUGAAACUAGUCCACGAUUUUUUUCACCCAAUGAUGUAAUAACUCAUUAUGAUGUAGAAACAAUCUCUAAAUUGCUACAGUAUGAAAACUUGAAUACUUGUGUAUGAAUACGACAUAAAACAAGAAAGAAAUAGAAUACUUGAUAAUAGUAGUAGCACGGGUAGAGAGGCGCGCUGCUAGUAACUACUAGUAGCGCGUUCUACCAAAAGCGGCUACUGCUAAGUAGGUAUAGUAGUAGCACGGGCAAACCCACGCUACUGCCCCUGUGCUACUGCUAUGCUUUUCCCUAGUAGUGAUAGCAUAAUAUCAGUUGGUCCUUCUGCAUUCCUUGUGACUAUGCAUUUCUACCUUUCUUUCACAUAUUCACAAACAAGAACAUGUUGUUGUUGCUGCAAGCUUCCAAACCUGGAAGCUUAGAAACAAGAAGUGAUUGUAAAUGUCUUGUGGACUGCAAAAUUCUAAACGAAACGACUGUUUAAUUUCUUCUGGUGAAUAGUAUAAGUGAGAUUGACGUGGGUUUGCGGACUGGAUUGUUCCUUGCUUGAUUCAUAUGCUACUGGAACAAAACGCAUCUUGUCAGAUGGUCGCUGUGUCGGCGACGAUGACACUAAUUUAGCAACUAACAACCAAAAUUAUUGAUGAAUUGAUGAUACUAUUAUACAACUGAAUAAAGGGAUGAGCGCUCAUAGGAUGACAAAGUUUCUUGUACUUGUAUUUCUUUUGGGUGAUAGUUGUUGAGAAAAACAGAGCAUGCUUCAGGUUUAUGUGAACAUGGCGGCAUUGCUGCUUGCUACUUUCCGUUUGGUAGACACAAGUUGGAGAAAAUAAGAGGAAGGCAGUUUGACAAAACACAUAAUUCCACCCGUUACAAGAAUCCAGUGCAUCAACGAAAUCAACAUUUAAGAACUCAUAAGUAUUUUAAGAGACCGAGGGCCAUCACGGAACACCAUCUAGCUUCAUCUGUUGCAUAAUCUCGGUCCUCUUUACUGAAAAGAGAUUCACCUGUGAAUAUGCAGUAAAACCUACGCUAGUUUACAUAAUAUAGAAGUCUCAGUUCAGUAGAGUGCCUGUAUUUUUUUUUACAUGAGCUUUCAGUAUUUCCAAGCUUUGCCUUGAGAUGUUGAUAUAUCUGAAAGUUCAAUGUUUCUUGUGCCUCCAUGUUCAGCUUGUGCGUGCAUGUUCAGUCGGCAUCUGCGUGUUCAGCUUGUGCCUGGAAUGCUAGGCGUGCCAGGAAAUAGCAGGCAGUCCUAGUAGCGCAGGCGGCUGAUGCUAAUCCUGCUAUUAGCAAACGCGGAAUGUUGCGGACGAUGCGGCCGGCCGGCAGACGUGUCCAAUUGCAUACUGAGAUCGGGGGCUGGGAGCUGCAGUCCAUCUCCGUCGCGGGCUCGCGGCGACCGUCCGAAGAGAUGCGUUCAGUUCCAGCGAUCAUCCAAGGAGACUCGUUCCGUCCGCACCGCCGCUGAUGCAGGUAGGGUUGUGUAGUACGGAAUAGGUAAAGCUGCCCACCGCUGAGUGUUUUUUUUGCUGAAUGUUUCUGCAAAAUUAUGGCAAGUGUUACUUUAUUAGGCGUAGGAUUUAAGUUGGAUUCAUUAGGUUUGGCCAGAAUCAAGAUCGACGGGACGGGGUUCAGGCUUUCACCGCCAUGAUGACUCCCGCGUUCACAUCCACUCCGGCCGGCGCGCGGGUUUCAGGAUUCGCCCUCUCCACCUUUCCGCACGCGGCAAAUCCGGCACGUUCGACUGGGUGGAGGACCAAAACGAUUCGGCCUCGGCCUGCAGUUAUUAUUAAGGAAAAGAAGCAACGAAACGUUAGUACCACCUUGGAUAUCUAUGGGCAAGGAGGCGUUAUUCAAGCCUAUAUAUACACAGCUCCUUGCAGCGGACGGACCAAGAAACGCGUCAAUUCAAUCAAUCAAUCAAUCAAAUCAAAGAAGAAGAAGAAGAAGAGGAGGAGGAGAAAAGAGAAAAAGAGAAGAGCCUCUUGUCAUCAAACCCCCAAUAAACCGGAGAUGGAGGGGGAGCUCACGAAGAAGAUGGAGAGGAAACUCAGGAAGAAGCAGAAGAAUCUAUUGAAGAAGAUGGGGAAAGAGAAGCCCCAAUCCCUGGUAAAGGAAAUCAUCUCCGUGGAGAGGGAGCGCAGAGACUUACAUGCCUCACUUACUCCCACGUUCUCUGUCUGGAAAGAAAUCGAUUCUCAAACAACGUGGACAAUCGCCACAAAGGAGCCUGCUACUGCUACUACCAGGGACGAUGAGAAUCAACUCGCAGACUACUUCAACCUGAUGCUCCAAGAUAUGGAGGACCUGGGCCAUCGGAUGCUUUCUAUGCUAUAUUUUCUCAACAAAUCCAAUGACCCCAUCUGCUCCUACAAGGCCACCGAGCUGUGCAAUAUAGCAGCCAAAUUAAAUAUGCAGAUAUCCAAGGGAUUCAGCAUGAACCAUGAGCUGGAGCAGGAGCCGGAGCCGGAGCCGGGGCAAAUCAACUUGUUGACUCUUUUCAGCAAAUAUUGUCGAUUUCCCAAUAAUUACGAGAACACCUUGGCCAAGUUAGACAUGAGGGAGGAGGAGACCAAGUGUGAGGAUGUUAAGGUGAAGAAGACCAAGGAAGAGGAGGACAAGGAGAAUGACCCAUCCACAAUCGAGUAUUUCAAGAAAAGUCUGGAGCUUGAUCAAUACUUUUUCGCCGCGGAUCGAAGAUACUGGGAAAAUGGGUGGGCCAGCAAGUUUGGACGGUACGGUGGAUUCUCAAAUACAAGUAAGUUAUCUCAUUUCUCCUUGUAUAUGUAUUUGGUAGUAUUUAUAUAUAAGAAACUGUCGGGGGAUGGAGUGGGAGCGAUGAUGCGUGGGUGUUUCUUCUUUUAUUUUUGACAUCUGGUGCAUGGGUGUUUGAAGGGGACGAAGAAGAGGUGGCAUGCGGUUUGAUUGUUGCAAACAUGUUUAGUCGUAAAUCUGGGAUGUAGUUUCAGCAAUGUAGGGGAUCUAAUGAUAUCUUUAUUUUGCUCAUUCAUAUUAGAAUUCUGACAUUUGACACUUGUCUUUGGUGCUGCAGCCAUCCUGAGCCCUAUGCAGUUUACGCACUAUACACCUGAUAUCAUCCCUUCCUCAGCUGCUGUCACCGGUAGUACUUUGCAAAUCUACUCAAUCAAGAUAAAGAAUCUAAAAGACUUGAACUGGCCCCUCAAAGUCUACGGCAAGAUUGCUGCUCGAGACACUGUGGACCGCAACCGCAACAUUCUAUUCUCUCGGUCAAAGUGUGAUUACCAAGAACUUAAUGGACAAGUAUGUAUUGUAUUCAGUUUUUUGCUCAUUUUAUUCAUCCUCCUGACUUUGUUGUACAACUGCGAUUAGGUAUUUAUAAUGAUGAUAUGAUGCUUGCAGGAUGAUUCCUUAUGCUUGACUGGUCCGUCUCGUGCGAUUGUUGCUUUGGGCCAUGUAGACUUUGAAGUUGAACUCAAAGUAAUCGAGGGAGCGGUGUCGCAAAGUUUGAUCAUUUGUAGAGGCCGUUACGGCGGUGCAGAUGAUUGUUCCUCUUCUUCGGCCAGCCUGACUUAUGGUGGUGAUGGACCAACCUUCUUGCUCUCCAACCAUCGCUGUAGAACCGAGGUAACACUUGAGCAGCUUGAUAGAUCGCACCAGGCUACUAUUGUGGGUGUACGAGUAACCAAAGGGGCUUGGCCUUUCAAAUAUGGAUGCCGGGUUAUUUGCUUUUGGGCUCCUGCUUCUACGGCAGAUGUCAUUGAUACCACUUGCAGGCCAGUUGUGCUGCUUGACCGCCGUGGUAAAGGAUUACAUAGAGGAUCAGAGAACUACCUUCAACUAUCAAGGAAAGUGGUAUCAGUGCAAUCACAAGGAACACUGAGAGUGGCCAUAGAAGGCUAUGGGAAGUCCCGUCGCUUGAUUGCUCGAAAGGGCCACAUCGACUUUCCUGUUCAGCAGUGCCAAACAAGCAAGCGUGCUUGUUUAGUUGGUGACACCACAGUGGAGGUGGUUGUAGCCUGGUCGUUGCUUGUCAAGGAAAAGGUGGAUCUCCAGGUCUUGCUUAGUUGAUUGCCCAGGUGGCUAUGUAAGUGUAAACCUUGUAUACUGACAAAAAUUAUGCGAUGUAUUAUGCAAUCUGGUUUGUUAAAAGUCUGAGCACUAUGUGUAUUGUUAUUCCGCCUGAUGAUUGUUUUCUUCCUUCUGUCAAAAAUUGAUGACUAUUGAUUGUGCUUGCUAUCUUUCUUCUUUUAAUUUUUUCUCAAAUUCCCUAUUGUCAUAUUGCAUAUCUGGCUAGAGGAAGCUGCGCUGUGGCCGGGACUCGUUGUUGUGGCAGCUGCUCCUCCUAUGUGGUGGAGAUAUCAUCACCGCACUCCUGGUGUUCGUCUACCUUGUCUACAAGUUGGGCAUAUGCGGCUACCUCUGCACACUCCUUGCUCGGCAACUCCUAUUGGAAAUAUGCCCUAUAGGCAAUAAUAAAAUGACUCUUAUCAUAUUUCCCGUUUAUCAUAAAAAUCUAUUAUUUAAGCUGGAAUUGUAUUGACCGGAAAAUUAAAUAACCUCCUCCUCAGCCUCUAAGCACGGUCGCACGCUCAUCUGCAACAAAAUCAGGAGUACCAAACGAGAACGCCGAGACAGAGACAGAGAUGCAGAGCGACUUAUGAUGUGAGUUCACACUCCAAAGACGAGGAACCAGCACAUGAACAUGAUCCUAAAGCAUGAUGGAAAUUACGUAGCAUGGUAGAAACAGAAACAGUGCCAGCAGUUUAAGUAGUAUUGUUAGAAGUAUAAUCAUGAUUAGGAUAGAGACAAGGAGAUAGAGCAAAACUUAGUUUAACAUAUCAUCUCUUGUACUACAAGUCUUGUUAGAGUUGUGUCGAAUAUUGUGUACACGGUAGGUUACAGUUGGACUCUUAUUAUUGUGUUUACAUAGGAUAUGGAGUCGUGUCCUAGUAGGACACUUGUAUCCUAGGCCUCUCAUAUAUAGCGGGGGUAGACACACAUUGUAAUCUAUGCCAACAUAAUAGCACCGGAACGCAGGAGAAGCCGGCGGCAUGUGCCGGUGUCCAGGGCGACCGGGUGCGGUAUUGUAGCGGUGUCAUGGGGAGGAACGCCCAUAGUCAGGCCCCGGGGAUGUAGCCAUAUCGGUGAACCUCGUUAACAAAUCUCGGUGUCGUGCUCGUGUGAUUGCUUGGUCCUCGGAUGAUCGACGGAGUGCUUCGGAUUUAUUCUAACGAGUAGUAUCAGAGCUAGGUUGUUUGGAGGCGGCGAGAGUUGAUCUAGAGGGAGAAGAUGCAUCGACAUAAAUCCGCGGAAGCGAUCGUAAUACGGGAUGAAUAUCAUCAGCGAGUUACCAUCGAGGCAUGAUUGGUCGUGCUAUGAUCUUCGAGCAGUAAUCAGAUCGAGAUGCAGACAUGAGGCAAAAGCAUCGGCGGCGGCAGACUUGCGGCGAUUAAUCGUGUUGAUCCAUCGGGCGAGCGUACAGGCGGCGCGGCUGAAGCCAAGGCAAGCGACGCACCAUAUGGACUGGCUCACCGGGGCUAGCUGGUGCGUGUGGCAGCGUGCUACAUGGCAGGGCUGCGGUGCAGGGCCGAUCGACUCAGGAGAUUUGUUUGGGAAAAAAAGAGACCGCUCUCCAUAUAUGACGCGGAUAGGCAGGCAAUCAGUCAUCAGAAAGCGUAUCCAUCAGAGCAAUACUCGCGUACGGAUUUGACACAAGAGCAGCACUAGCAUCCCCAAUUGCGGCCAAUGCAGGGAGGAAUCACGUGAAGACCAACUAGUUAACUAGUAGUGCACAUGUUGUGUACUUGGGCAUUGCGUGGAAAUCUCCGAUAAUUUUUCAAGGGUCCCUCAUACAAAGAACCAUGAAGCCAACGGGUACUAGGUUUGAGAUGGAGAAGUUCGAUGGAACUGAACACCUUGGGUUAUGGCAGACAAGGGUGAAAAUUUUAUUGGCACAACAUGGAUGCUUUAAGGCGUUGCGGGAAGUCAUGUCAGCUAAGAUGGAAUUAUCAUGUGAUGGAUGGAAUUCACGGAAGACGAUUUGGAAGCCUCGAGCGUGUCGUACAGUCAAACAAGUUUGACUGGGUCAGACUAGGCAGUCUAACGGAUCGACAUGAGUCGGUUGGUACAGAAGACGGUGGUGGGAUCGGCGACGACGAGAUAGGAGCGUGAUGCCGAUGGUGACCGACUUCUGGGUGUGGAAACACGUGACGCAGGCCCCGAGGGCUUGUGUCGCUUCGACAAGACUAUGGUGCGGGGUUGAUUCAAGGUGUUGUACACACGGAGCUUGAAGUCGACGUGACGCGAGGAUGGACUGAUCAUCUACCAUGGAGUCAUGUUGAAGGUGGAGCUAGAUUGAGGGGCUACGGUGUAAGGAUCCAGGGAAUCGAAGCCUAUUCAGCGGGAAAAAGUGAGUGACAUGCAGUUCGGACUGGAGCCCAGUGGUUUGAUGGAAGCGUGAAACUCGUCAUCGGUCGGUGAUGAUCAGUGGUACUCUGCAGUGGGGGUUGAGUGGUGUGGUUUGAUGACCCUUGAGACUCGACUAAGACAGCGGAGGCUCGACGCGUUAAUAGCGGCGAGGCGUGCGGUAUGCACAGUGCAUGGAGACGAGCCAGUGCUCUAGUGGGCAUACAUGUGGUGAGACAACUGCGAAUUUGACUCGGGAUGACUACAAGCAACAGUGAAAUUCCUUCAUGUUUCAGACAGGCGGUCAAGAAAGGAGCAGUGAUGUUGAGUUCAGGUAACUCUUAUGUGUGACACCAAAUAUGUGAGUUGUUCACUUUCACGCAGGUCAGUGAUCGGUGUGUGAUGGCAUUGAACAGAUACUCUGGAAGUUGGGAGCACAAACUAGAGUGACAAGGAACUUAAUUUUGCUCGAGUGUUGACCCUGGUCAAGAAAAGAAGGGACUACAAGUUGCAGGUGGAGUCAUAUGGAGUCCUUGGAGUAGCAGCGGUGCUCAUGGGACAAGCUCAAGUCCAAUGUACAUGAAAGUUUGACGCAUGGACAAAUUCAAGGUGGUGGAGCAUAUUCGCCAAGGUGGAGUUUGUUAGAGUUGUGUCGAAUAUUGUGUACACGAUAGGUUACAGUUGGACUCUUAUUAUUGUGUUUACAUAGGAUAUGGAGUCGUGUCCUAGUAGGACACUUGUAUCCUAGGCCUCUCAUAUAUAGCGGGGGUAGACACACAUUGUAAUCUAUGCCAACAUAAUAGCACCGGAACGCAGGGGAAGCCGGCGGCAUGUGCCGGUGUCCAGGGCGACCGGGUGCGGUAUUGUAGCGGUGUCAUGGAGAGGAGCGCCCACAGUCAGGCCCCGGGGAUGUAGCCAUAUCGAUGAACCUCGUUAACAAAUCUCGUUGUCGUCCUCGUGUGAUUGCUUGGUCCUCGGAUGAUCGACGGAGUGCCUCGGAUUUAUUCUAACAAGUCUUUUCCCAUGUUGUAUUCUAUAUAUACCCAUAAAAGGGUCCGAUCAAUAUAACACACCAUUCUAGGACCCUCCACCAGUUAUGAAGCACGCCGCCCCGGGGAGAUUAAUCGCGUCUCCCUGGGGGCGCGGCACCCGGUCGAUAAAAGAUCAGAUCUGGUUCAAUAGCUUGGAUCAAAUUAUGUAGUUUUUCAAAUUUUAUGUUCUUACACUACUAGGGAAAACCUUAUACAUAGAAGUUUAUCCGUAACGCGGUUUAAAAGUGGGCGCUAGUGCUAAUUACUAGUAGCGAGGGGUACAAAAACCGCGUUACUACUAAGUUGAUAGUAGUAGCAAGGGGUACAAACCCGCGCUGCUAGUAAGUGGUCUCGAACAAUACCCCCGGAUAGGCCAUAGUAGUAGCGAUGUCCACCCCGGCCCGAUCCAUACUCCCACCCCACCACUCUCUCUCUCAUCCCUAAAAAAUACUCUCUCACGAACUCACAUGCUCCUCUCCCCACGAUCUCCUCGCCGCCUCCACCACCCAGACCGGCCGGUUCCGGCGAGCAUCGGUCGCGCGCAAUACUCCCCCAAGCUCCACCCGUCCUUCCCCUCCGUCCAGGUCCGACAUGGCUGUAGUUCCUACACGGCCAACCUCUUCUCCACGGCGCUCUCGUGCCACUUCAUCCCGCUCCUUCGCCGCCAGGCCCGCCGCCUCCGCCUCCGUUUCCUGCGGCCUGCUGCGCGCCGUGCCGGCGCUGCUGGCGCCACGGAGGCGGCUCCUGCUGCCCGUGGCCAUGGGGUACACCGAGGGGGAGCAGAGCGAGGGCGAGGCCGAGUACUCCGAGGACCUCAAGGUCUUCGUCGGAUACUAGUAGUCGUUACGUCCAAGGGAUGUGGCUCCAUUCAAGAUUCCGGCGUCAGUUGCGUGCUGGUUGGGGGUCAAUCGCCAAGGUGAAGGGGAGAUUUACUUGCUCAUCCGCUCUUUGAUUCGUUUCCCGAUCUUCAUUUCAUCUCUUCAAAACUGUAGGCUAGGUGUUUGUGGAAUUGCCCGCCUCCUUUGGAACUGCAACGGCAACGCCAGCAAAGUAAGGAACACUAAGGCUAGGCAGAGCAAAGAAGGGGAAGGAUGACCAUGCCGUGGGGGCUGGCGGCGUACAUGGUGGACAUGGUGUGGGCAGUGUUCGCCGGGUGUGUGUCGGUGUGCCUGCUGGUCGCCAACGAGAUCGCCCGCGGCAUGCGGGCCAGGUAGAUUGGCCCCUUCAUCGUGGGGUGAAUCUCACUUCGGGAAUCCUCCCUUCUGACUCCUUCAUGCAGGUGCUAUGCUCUAGUUUCUUUGCUAGUAAAUUGAUGAAUGAUACGUCUCCAACGUAUCUAUAAUUUUUGAUUGGUCCAUGCUAUUAUAUUAUCCAUCCAUGAUGUUUUAUAUGCAUUUAUAUGCUAUUUUAUAUGAUUUUUGAGACUAACCUAUUAACCUAGAGCCCAGUGCCAGUUUAUGUUUUUUCCUUGUUUUUGAGUAUCACAGAAAAGGAAUACCAAACAAAGGCCAAUUGACGUGCCAAUUUUUGAUGAUUUUUAUGGACCAAAAGAAGACCACGGAGCAUCGGAGUUGGGCCAGAAGAGCCCUGGGCUGCCCACGAGGGUGGGGGCGCGCCCACCCCCCUGGGCGCGCCCCCUGCCUCGUGCACAGCCCGGAGACCCCCCCUGACUUGUUGCCGAUGCCAAAAAUUCCUAUAAAUACAGACACCUCCAGAAACAAACCUAGAUCGGAGUUCCACCGCCGCAAGCCUCUAUAGCCACCAAAAACCAAUCAGGACCCUGUUCCGGCACAUUGCCGGAGGGGGGAACCCUCACCGGUGGCCAUCUUCAUCAUCCCGACGAUCUCCAUGACGAGGAGGGAGUAGUUCACCCUCGAGGCUGAGGGUACGUACCAGUAGCUGUGUGUUUGAUCUCUCUCUCGUGUUCUUGAGGUGGUAUGAUCUUGAUGUACCGCGAGCUUUGCUAUUAUAGUUGGAUCUUAUGAUGUUUCUCCCCCUCUACUCUCUUGUAAUGGAUUGAGUUUUCCCUUUGAAGUUAUCUUAUCAGAUUGAGUCUUUAAGGAUUUGAGAACACUUGAUGUAUGUCUUGCCGUGCUUAUCUGUGGUGACAAUGGGAUAUUCAUGUGAUCUACUUGAUGUAUGUUUUGGUGAUCAACUUGCGGGUUCACCUUGUGAACGUAUGCAUAGGGGUUGGCACACGUUUUCAUCUUGACUCUCCGGUAGAAACUUUGGGGCACUCUUUGAAGUACUUUUGUGUUGGUUGAAUAGAUAAAUCCGAGAUUGUGUGAUGCAUAUCGCAUAAUCAUACCCAUGGAUACUUGAGGUGACAAUGGAGUAUCUAGGUGACAUUAGGGUUUUGGUUGAUUUGUGUCUUAAGGUUCUAGUACGAACUCUAUGAUAGAUUUAACAGAAAGAAUAGCUUCGUGUUAUUUUACUACGGACUCUUGAAUAGAUCGAGCAGAAAGAAUAACUUUGAGGUGGUUUCAUACCCUACCAUAAUCUCUUCGUUUGUUCUCCGCUAUUCGUGACUUUGGAGUGACACUUUGUUGCAUGUUGAGGGAUAGCUAUAUGAUCCAACUAUGUUAUUAUUGUUGAGAGAACUUGCACUAGUGAAAGUAUGAACCCUAGGCCUUGUUUCCUAGCAUUGCAUUACCGUUUACACUCACUUUUAUCAUUAUUUACCUUGGUGUUUUUAUAUUUUUCAGAUUACAAAAACCUAUAUCUACCAUCCAUAUUGCACUUGUAUCACCAUCUCUUCGCCGAACUAGUGCACCUAUACAAUUUACCAUUGUAUUGGGUGUGUUGGGGCACAAGAGACUCUUUGUUAUUUGCUUGCAGGGUUGUUUGAGAGAGACCAUCUUCAACCUACGCCUCCCACAGACUGAUAAACCUUAGGUCAUCCACUUGAGGGAAAUUUGCUACUGUCCUACAAACAUCUGCACUUGGAGGCCCAACAACGUAUACAAGAGGAAGGUUGCAUAGUAGACAUCAAGCUCUUUUCUGGCGCCGUUGCCGGGGAGGUGAGUGCUUGAAGGUAUAUCUUUAGAUCUUGCAAUCGAAUCUUUUAGUUUCUUGUUUUAUCACUAGUUUAGUUUAUAAAAGAAAACUACAAAAAAAUGGAAUUGAGUUUGCCUCAUACGAUUCAUCUUUUUAAUAUCUUUCAUGAGUAUGAUGGAAAGGAAAAUUGUGCUCAAGUGCUAGCAGAAGAAACCUAUAGAAUGUUUAGCACUAAAUCUUUGUAUGAUGAGCAUGAUUGCAAUGUUGUUAGUAUGAAUUCCUUGAAUAUCCAUGAUGCUAAAGAUAUGCAGAGCCACAAGCUUGGGGAAGCUAUGUUUGAUGAAUAUGAUAUUUUUUGUCCCCCAAGUUUUGAUGAGCAAAUUUAUUAUGAUGAUAGGAUGCCUCCUAUUUAUGAUGAUUAUUGUGAUGAUACAUAUGCCAUAAAGAAUAAACUUGCUUAUGUGGAGAGUAGUAAAAUUUCUAUGCCUGUGGAUCAUGAAAAGAAUGCUUUAGGUGCUGGUUAUAUUGUUGAAUUCAUUCAUGAUGUUACUGAAAAUUAUUAUGAGGGAGGAACAUAUGCUUGUAGGAAUUGCAAUAAUAUCAAGUUUCCUCUCUAUGUGCUUAAAGUUUUAAAGUUAUGCUUGUUUUGCCCUUCUAUGCUAGUUGAUUAUUGUUCCCAUAAGUUGUUUGCUCACAAAAUCCCUAUGCAUAGGAAGUGGGUUAGACUUAAAUGUACUAUUCAUAUUCUUCAUGAUGCUUUCUUUAUGUUUCAAUUCUUAUCUUUUAUGUGAGCAUCAUUGAAAUCAUCAUGCCUAGCUAGGGGCGUUAAACAUUAGCGCUUGUUGGGAGGCAACCCAAUUUUAUUCUUGUUCUUUGCUUUUUGUUUCUGUAUAGUAAUAAAUAAUUUAUCUAGCCUCUGUUUAGAUGUGGUUUUAUGUUUUAAUUAGUGUUUGUGCCAAGUAGAACCUUUGGGAAGACUUGGGUGAAGUCUUUAUGAUCUUGCUGUAAAAAAAUAGAAACUUUAGCGCUCACGAGAUUAGCUGCCAUUUUUUACUGGAGAGUGCUUUUAGAUUGAUUCUUUUUGAAGAUGAUUAAUAAACAAAUUCCUGAGGUCCAACAAUUUAUUUCAGAAUUUUUGGAGUUCCAUAAGUAUAGGUUUGAUACAGAUUACUACAGACUGUUCUGUUUUUGACAGAUUCUGUUUUCAUUGUGUUGUUUGCUUAUUUUGAUGAAUUUAUGAGUAGUAUCGGAGGGUAUGAACCAUAGAGAAGUUGGAAUACACUAGAUAUUACACCAAUAUGAAUUUAGAAUGAGUUCAAAACAGUACCAAAAGUGGUGGUUUUAUUUAUUUAUACUAACGGGGCUUACGAGUUUUCUGUUGAGUUUUGUGUUGUGAAGUUUUCAAGUUUUGGGUAAAGAUUCGAUGGACUAUGGAAUAAGGAGUGGCAAGAGCCUAAGCUUGGGGAUGCCCAAGGCACCCCAAGGUAAUAUUCAAGGAUAACCAAGAGCCUAAGCUUGGGGAUGCCCCGGAAGGCAUCCCCUCUUUCGUCUUCGUUCAUCAGUAACUUUACUUGGAGCUAUAUUUUUAUUCACCACAUGAUAUGUGUUUUUCCUGGAGCGUCAUUUUAUUUUAUUUUGUUUUACAUGCUGUUUGAAUAAAAUACCAAGAUCUUACAUUCUUAAAUGUUAGAGAGUCUUCACAUAGUUACGUAAUUAUUCAACUACUCAUUGAUCUUCACUUAUAUCUUCCGGAGUAGUUUGUCGUUGCUCUAGUGCUUCACUUAUAUCUUUUUAGAGCAUGGUGGUGGUUUUAUUUUGUAGAAAUAGAUGAAUUCUCAUUGUUCACUUAUAUUAUUUUGAGAGUCCUACAAACCAGCACGGUAAUUUGCUUUGGUUGAAAUUUUAGUCCUAGAAGUGAUGGGCAUCCAAGAGGGAUAUAAUAAAAACUUUCAUAUAAAGUGCAUAGAACACUGUGUGAAGUUUGAUUCCUUAUGAUUGUUUUGAGAUAUGAAGAUGGUGAUAUUAGUCACGCUAGUUGAGUAGUUGUGAAUUUGAGAGAUACUUGCGUUAAAGUUUGUGAUUCCCGUAGCAUGCACGUAUGGUGAACCGUUAUGUGAUGAAGUCGGAGCAUGAUUUAUUUAUUGAUUGUCCUCCUUAUGAGUGGCGGUCGGGGACGAGCGAUGGUCUUUUCCUACCAAUCUAUCCCCCUAGGAGCAUGCGCGUAGUACUUUGUUUCGAUAACUAAUAGAUUUUUGCAAUAAGUAUGUGAGUCCUUUAUGACUACUGUUGAGUCCAUGGAUUAUACACACUCUCACCCUUUCACCAUUGCUAGCCUCUCUAACACCACGCACCUUUCGCCGGUAUCAUACACCCACCAUAUACCUUCCUCAAAACAGCCAUCAUACCUACCUAUUAUGGCAUUUCCAUAGCCAUUCCGAGAUAUAUUGCCAUGCAACUUUUCACUGUUCCAUUUAUUAUGACAUGCUCCAUCAUUGUCAUAUUGCUUUGCAUGAUCAUGUACUUGACAUCGUAUUUGUGGCAAAGCCACCGUUCAUAACUCUUUCAUAAAUGUCACUCUUGAUUCAUUGCACAUCCCGGUACACCGCCGGAGGCAUUCAUAUAGAGUCAUAUUUUGUUCUAAGUAUCGAGUUGUCAUUCAUGAGUUGUAAGUGAAUAAAAGUGUGAUGAUCAUCAUUACUAGAGCAUUGUCCCUUGUGACAGUAGUAGAAAAAAGGCUUUGGUUAAGGCCGGGUCAGCCCAUUAGUCCCGGUUCAGUCCAGAACCGGGACCCAUGGGGGCAUUGGUCCCGGUUCGUGAGCCCAGGGGGCCGGCCUGGCCACGUGGGCCAUUGGUCCCGGUUCGUCUGGACCUUUUGGUCCCGGUUGGUGGGACGAACCGGGACCACUAGGCCUGGCUCCUGGCCCACCACCAUUGGUCCCGGUUGGUGGCUUGAACCGGGACGACAGGCUGAGGUGCCUAUAUAUACUGUAACAUCCCGAUUUUCGGAAUGUUUAAGAAAAAGUUUUCGAAAAAUCAGGGCAAGAAAAUUCUGUUUGUUUUAUUUUGUAACAAAGCUUAAACUGAACUUUUAUAAUUUGGAUGAUUUAAAUUGAUCUAAUGCGAACUUAAAUUUAAAUUGAGUUUGUUCUUCUCUUUUAGUUGGGUUUUGGUUUUCUCCCUUCAGCAUAUUAAAUUAUGCAUGUAUGUAUUUGGAACUUCUUUUGAAUUCGUUAACUUCUAUUCCUUUUCUAAAUUUUCCUAAGAGGAAAAUCAAUUUGUUUUCCCUGUCUCAAACUCUGGGCGAAAUUCCAUCGGUCCAACAUAUCUCCUUCCCUUCCCUAGGUUCAGCCACUAUUUUUUUUUCUUGUCUAAGUCGCAUGGGCCUAGCCCAUCUAUUUUUAUUUUUAUUUUCUUGUUUUCCCUCCUCUCCCCAUGGGCUGGAUCCACUUGGCCCAUAUCUCUAGCCGACGAAUGUCUCUCCAUGCAUACGGCCCUCUUAUUAACAAAAUAGAGUAGUAUCAACAUGGUUCCAAAGGUCCUCAAAAUUGAAAAAAGAAGCAAAACAAGCUCACACAGAGCCCGGAAAAGCUAGAUACAUCAAACUAGCCACAUCAAUGUGCCACAACCGGCUGGGCAAACUAGAUAGGAAUACUAAAUACCUAUCCUAUUACAUGACCGCCAUCCAAACCGGUUGAAGAUAUCCCGAGCUACCAUCUCCCAACGGAUAGACCCAGUAACCAAAUGCUCCUUGGCCUCCGUCUGGGUGAGUAGCGACCACGAACGAAUCAGAGCCGUAGUCCGGAAUAAAACCUGCAAAAUUGUAUACAUGAUAUUCUGUUAAAGACCAAAUCGUUUCUGCAGUUCCAGAUGGUCCACAGCAAAGCACAAACCCCCACCCGAAUAUGUCUCCCUAAGUUGGGCUCAAUCCCAUUAAGCCAUGUCCCAAAUAAAGUAUUAACAGAAUUCGGUGGUUUGAUGUUAAAAGCAAUGUGGACCGUCUGCCAUAGAACCUUUGCAAGCGGACAAUCAAAAAAGAGGUGUUUAAUAGACUCAUCCCGAUCACAGAAACUACACCUAGUAGGUCCUGUCCAAUUGCGCUUCUUCAAGUUAUCCUUAGUUAAAAUUACUUGUUUAUGAACAAACCACAUAAACACUUUUAUUUUCAAAGGAACUUUGACAUCCCAAACAUGUUUGGACGUAGGAAUGGAGCUCGAAUUAAUAACAUCAAUAUACAUUGAUUUAACCGUGAAGCCUCCAGACUUAGUCAACUUCCAGCGCAAUUCAUCAGGUUGUUGAGACAGCUGGAUAUCCAUCAGCCUUCUAACUAGAUGGAGCCAUUGUUCCCAAUGAUUGCCCGCUAGCACUCGUCUGAACUGAAUAUUAAGGGGGAUAGAUUGAAAAACCGAAGCAAUGACCACCUCCUUUCGUUGAACAAUACGAUACAAGGAGGGAUAUUGGAUGGCCAGGGGUGUGUCACCAAGCCAAGUGUCCUCCCAGAAACGUGUGCUCAAGCCGUUUCCGACAACAAACUUUGUCCUAUUAAUGAAAGCCUGCUUGACCUUCAUGAGCCCCUUCCAGAAAGGCGAGUCAGUCGGCCUUACAGAGACUUGCGACAAAGUUUUUGACUGGAGGUACUUGCCGCGAAGGAUCUGUGCCCACACAGCAUCCGUCUCCGACGCGAGCUUCCACAGCCACUUGCUAAGCAGGCAUUUAUUCUUAAUCUCAAGAUUCUCAAUACCUAGACCCCCUUGGUCCUUCGGUCUACAAAUAAUGUCCCACUUAGCAAGUCUGUAUUUUCUUUUCAGCUAAUCACCCUGCCAGAAGAACCGCGAUCUAUAGAAGUCCAGUCUCUUCCUGACUCCAACUGGUACCUCAAAGAACGAAAGAAGAAACAUCGGCAAACUUGUGAGCACCGAAUUAAUUAGGAUUAACCGGCCUCCAUAAGAUAAGAGCUUGCCCUUCCAGCAGCUCAGUUUCUUCUCAAAUCGGUCUUCAAUGCACUUCCAUUCUCUGUUCGUUAGCCUACAAUGGUGGAUAGGAAUCCCUAAGUACGAGAAAGGUAACUGUCCCAACUCACACCCAAACAAUUGCCUGUAGGCUUCCUGCUCAUCGAUGGCCCUACCAAAGCAGAACAACUCGCUCUUAUGAAAGUUGAUCUUCAAUCCGGUCAAUUGUUCGAAUAGGCAUAAAACCAUCUUCAUAUUCCUAGCCUUAACCACGUCAUGCUCCAUAAAGAUGAUCGUAUCAUCAGCGUAUUGUAGGAUGGAAAUGCCUCCAUUAACCAGAUGAGGCACCAAUCCACCUACUUGACCAUUUUCCUUAGCCCGUCCUAUCAGAAUUGCCAACAUAUCUACCACAAUGUUGAACAAGAUAGGGGACAUUGGGUCUCCUUGUCGUAAGCCUUUAUGGGUCUGAAAGUAAUGACCUAUAUCAUCAUUAACUUUAAUUCCCACACUACCUUUUUGCGUAAAUGAUUGCACCUGCCUUCGCCAGGCUUCAUCAAACCCUUUCAUACGCAAAGAUUGUUGGAGAAAUGGCCACUUAAUCUUAUCAUACGCUUUCUCGAAAUCCACUUUAAAAAUCACUCCAUCCAAUUUUUUGGAGUGGAUUUCAUGGAGCGUUUCAUGCAGAACUACCACCCCUUCUAGAAUGUUUCUGUCUGGCAAGAACGCGGUUUGGGAUUGAUGCACCACAGAAUGCGCAAUCUGUGUGAGCCUGUUGGUCCUGACCUUUGUGAAGAUUUUGAAACUAACAUUUAGGAGACAGAUCGGCCUGAAUUGCUCAAUUCUGACCGCAUCCGUCUUCUUAGGUAGUAAUGUGAUAGUCCCAAAAUUCAGGUGGAAUAAUUGAAGUUGUCCAGAGAAUAGAUCAUGAAACAUAGGUAGUAAAUCCCCCUUAAUAAUGUGCCAGCACUUCUUAUAGAACUCGGCCGGGAAACCAUCCGGACCAGGAGCCUUAUUAUUUUUCAUUUGAGCAAUUGCCUCAAACACCUCCUUCUCCGAGAACGGGGCAACCAGAAUGUCAUUAUCAGCAGCCGAAAGCUGAGGUACAUCCUCAGUCAUGGACUCAUCAAGUGACACCGUAUUCUCCUCCGGUGGACCAAAUAACUGCUUAUAAUACUCAGUGAUAUAUGUUUUUAGGUUAUCCUGACCUAAAAUUGUACCCUCGUCCUGCUCAAGCUGAAAGAUUCGCUUCUUUCUAUGCUUGCCAUUAGCAAUUAAAUGAAAGAACUGAGUAUUCGCGUCCCCCUGGACCACUCUACGAACCUUAGCACGUAAAGCCCACUUUAGUUCUUCUUCGCGUAGUAGUUCUUUCAACCGCUUUUCCGCCUCAUUUUUAACCUGAAGCUCUGCGGGGACUAAAACAUUAGACUCGGCUUUUACGUCCAAGUCAUAUACAAGAGAAAGGAGUCUAUCCUUUUCAAUCUUAUACGCACCACUAAGAUGCUUAGCCCAACCCCUCAAGAAGCUUCUCAAAUUCCUAAUCUUAUUCUGCCAACGCUCAAUGGGUGUUUUACCGCGAACCUCUUUAGCCCAUUCCCUGGCAAUCAAGUCAAAGAACCCCUCACGUUCGAACCAUGACGUCUCAAAUGAGAAGGUGUUCUUAUUACCCACGUGGUUCGGCUCCCCUGAGUCCAUGAACAAUGGGGUAUGAUCAGAUAUUCCCCUCGAAAGGGCUUGCACCGUGACCAACGGGAAUUUUUGUUCCCACUCCACGCUUGCAAGAACCCGAUCAAGUUUUUCGUAAGUUGGGUUUGGCAUAGCGUUGGCCCAUGUAAACUUUCGACCCGAGAGUUCUAUCUCUCUCAGAUCCAAGCUUUCAAUAAUGGUGUUGAACAUGAAGGACCAUCUACCAUCAAAGUUGUCAUUGUUCUUCUCCUCCCGCCUCCGGAUGAUAUUGAAAUCACCUCCGACUAAAAUCGGUAGUUGUUCUGACCCACAAAUUCGAACUAGGUCAGCUAGAAACUCCGCUUUCCAACUCAGGCUGCGCGGCACCAUAUACCGCCACCAAAGCCCAGUUAAAGCCAUCAAUCUUAGACCUAACUCGAAACUUUACGGCGAAGUCACCCAUCACUACACUACGGACUUCAAGUAAAUCGCAUCUCACACCUAGUAAGAUGCCCCCCGAUCUUCCUCGCGGAGGUAAGCAAUGCCAAUCGAAAUCUAUACCACCAACUAGUGAGGAGAGAAACUGUGGUGCAAAGUUAUCUCUACCCGUCUCCGAUAGAGCAACAAAAUCUAGCUUCUGCUCAAUAGAAGUCUCAGCCAGGAAUCUUCUUUUAGCCAAGUCCUUAAGACCUCUGCUGUUCCAAAAAAUUCAUCUCAUAGUUCAUCAUGGAAUUUUUUGGUGGUUCGAAUCCUAGCACUCCUACGAACUGCGGAAUCGGGAUAAAUCUUCCGUUUCCACUUACGUUUAGGUUUAUUAAGCUCGAGUCCCCGUUCCUCAUGACCGGGUUCUGAAAUAUUGCUAGCGUCAUUCUGUAGGGGCACAUCCUCUUCGUCAGCCUCAUGGUUAGUGGGUGCGAGAUCCUCACACAGGCUAUCAAGCACUCUAACUCCUAACGCAUUUAUCUCAUCAUCAUUCAUAGGUUUAACUGCUGCAAGAUUACGAAUAGUCUCUAAAGCCCGUUCCGCUUCCAGGUCUAAAAUAUCAUUCACCGAUUUGGUAAUUUCACUAUCUGUAGCACCUAGUGAAACUCCUAAUUGGUUUGCAUUAUUUAUAAUGUCCUCAUUAGAAAAAUGCAAUAAGGAAUUAGACAAGUCAACGGACAUACCCGAUGUACAAGCAGCCUCCUGAAGCUUGGCCUCCCUCAUAGCGCACCGCUGCUGCAUAUCAUCAACCUCCGGGACGUCGAGGAUGCGAGCACUCAUCCGUCUGCCCCCGGAAGUAGGGUCCGGGAUCCCGCCAAACGCGAUCACCUCCUCCCUGUAUAACCUGGCACCAAAACUCCAGGUGGUGCCGAGGUCACUAGCGAAGGCAUCUGCGGGCUCCCGAUCCCCUUGGACGAGUGCCCCACCGCAGGCAAUGGGGAGGAGUGAACGACCGGGGCCUCCUGCCCGCCGUCUCUUCCCGCCCCAACCUGCGGCUCAGACGUAGUAGCCCUCGGAGGGGUGGUCCGCCUGACCACCUGGGCAGAGGGAGGAGACCGGGCCACCUGCCCUGGCGUCCCCCCUCCCGCAGCAGCAGCGACAGUGGUAGCCACCACCGUCGCGGAAGUCGUCAAGGCCGCCUGCCUCGAGGACCCUCCAGCCGCUGGAACCGACCCCCUAGGGGUCAAGCCCACCGGCGAAACCUGCAACGUCCUCGGGACGGGGGGAGAAUGGACUUCAGGUCCCGAACCCCCUCCCCCACAACCCCUCGGCCCCGUGCUCGCUGACACCGAAGUCACUCCCACAACAGUCAGCAAUCCAGUAGGGCUAUCACUGUGCCCGCAGUCCGCACCAACCUCCCUCUCAACCUCCAGUGAAGGAAGCGUGUGCUCAAGAGCAUCGUCCGACUCCACCCUGUCACUCCAAAGCCUGGGAGGUGCCGAAGCUGGCUCGAAAGAACCGAAACGCAAAGUAGCCAUGGGUACCGCCGGUGAGACAGUGGGCUCAGCCUCCGGUCCAGUCCCGGCCGACUGAGGUUGAGAUCCGUUGGAUCCCUCUCGCAUGGUCUCAUCUGACGGUGCCCCCUUAGUCCCAGCACCACCCUCACGGUCGUGCAUAUCAACAUCAUUGCCGUUAACUGCAUCGUCAAAUAAGUCGGUGUCCUCAAACUCAAUAUCUAGCGGGAAGACCUCACCCUUAUAUGUCCAGUUGACCUUAUCAGGCACAUACUCAAUAUCCAAAAUGCUCACAAGAAUCCGGGCAAUCCCAUUGGCACGAGUGAAAGCCAUGUCCACUUUUUUAGUUUUUCCAACGAGGAUACCCAAACUGGCCACAACACGAGCGUCCUGCAGAGGCUUAGAUGGAGCCCCCAAAAACCUCAGCCAUACCUGUGUAAGCGGUUUUCCUUUAGGCUCAACCUGUUUCCACUCAUUAAACUCCAGAAUACACUUAGUACCGGGAACUUUACACAAGCCAAAACUUAACAAUUUCUGCAGGUCCUCGACAGAUGUGAAAUCAACCUUAAAAACUCUGUCCUCAAUGGGCACUAACUCCCAAACAAAAUCACCGGGAGCUAACUCCUGCAACCUCCUCACAAUCUGUGCCUCAGUCACCUCACCCUGUGUCGCUCUGACAAUCUCAGUAGUUGAAGUGUGGUUAUCCUCCGGGACCACUCUCACCUCCGGGGACUCAAAAAACAUGAGCUCAGCACAGUAGACUCCAUAGAUGUUCAGAGUCGGAGGUACGUCACGCAAGAUCGGGCACUCACCCGACUCAUGUGCAAGCUUGCCACAUGACUCACAAAAUUGGUGAAGGAAAUAUGCCCUAGAGGCAAUAAUAAAGUUAUUAUUUAUUUCCUUAUAUCAUGAUAAAUGUUUAUUAUUCAUGCUAGAAUUGUAUUAACCGGAAACAUAAUACAUGUGUGAAUAUAUAGACAAACAGAGUGUCACUAGUAUGCCUCUACUUGACUAGCUUGUUAAUCAAAGAUGGUUAUGUUUCCUAACCAUGGACAAAGAGUUGUUAUUUGAUUAACAGGAUCACAUCAUUAGUUGAAUGAUCUGAUUGACAUGACCCAUUCCGUUAGCUUAGCACCCGAUCGUUUAGUAUGUUGCUAUUGCUUUCUUCAUGACUUAUACAUGUUCCUAUGACUAUGAGAUUAUGCAACUCCCGUUUACCGGAGGAACACUUUGUGUGCUACCAAACGUCACAACGUAACUGGGUGAUUAUAAAGGUGCUCUACAGGUGUCUCCGAAGGUACUUGUUGGGUUGGCGUAUUUCGAGAUUAGGAUUUGUCACUCCGAAUGUCGGAGAGGUAUCUCUGGGCCCUCUCGGUAAUGCACAUCACUUAAGCCUUGCAAGCAUUGCAACUGAUGAGUUAGUUGCGAGAUGAUGUAUUACGGAACGAGUAAAGAGACUUGCCGGUAACGAGAUUGAACUAGGUAUUGGAUACCGACGAUCGAAUCUCGGGCAAGUAACAUACCGAUGACAAAGGGAACAACGUAUGUUGUUAUGCGGUCUGACCGAUAAAGAUGUUCGUAAAAUAUGUAGGAACCAAUAUGGGCAUCCAGGUCCCGCUAUUGGUUAUUGACCGGAGACGUGUCUCGGUCAUGUCUACAUUGUUCUCGAACCGUAGGGUCCGCACGCUUAAGUUUUCGAUGACAGUUUUAUUAUGAGUUUAUGAGUUUUGAUGUACCGAAGGAGUUCGGAGUCCCGGAUGAGAUCGGGGACAUGACGAGGAGUCUCGAAAUGGUCGAGACGUAAAGAUCGAUAUAUUGGACGACUAUAUUCGGAGUUCGGAAAGGUUCCGAGUGAUUCGGGUAUUUUUCGGAGUACCGGAGAGUUACGGGAAUUCGUAUUGGGCCUCUUUGGGCCAUACGGGAAAGGAGAGAAAGGGCCAAAAGGGUGGCCGCACCCCUCCCCUUGGACUAGUCCGAAUUGGACUAGGGAGGGGGGGCGCCCCCUUCCUUCCUUUUGCUUCUCUCUUCCCUUUCCUUCUCUCCUACUCCUACUACAUGGAAGGGUUCCUAGUUGGACUAGGAAAGGGGGAAUCCUACUCCCGGUGGGAGUAGGACUCCCCUAGGGCGCGCCAUAGAGGGCAGGCCCUCCCCUCCUCCACUCCUUUAUAUACGGGGGCAGGGGGCACCCCAUGGACACACAAGUUGAUCAUUGAGAUCGUUCCUUAGCCGUGUGCGGUGCCCCCCUCCACGAUAUUCCACCUCGAUCAUAUUGUUGCGGUGCUUAGGCGAAGCCCUGCGACAGGAGAACAUCAAGAUCGUCACCACGCCGUCGUGCUGACGGAACUCCCCCUCGGAACCUCUACUGGAUUGGAGAUCGAGGGUGCGUCAUCGAGCUGUACGUGUGUCAAGAACUCGGAGGUGCCGGAGUAACGGUGCUUGGAUCGGUUGGACCGGGAGGACGUACGACUACUUCCUCUACGUUGCGUCAACGCUUCCGCUUCAGUCUACGAGGGUACGUAGACAACACUCUCCCCUCUCGUUGCUAUGCAUCACCAUGAUCUUGCGUGUGCGUAGGAAAUUUUUUGAAAUAACUACGUUCCCCAACAGUGGCAUCCGAGCCAAGUUUUUAUGGUUUGAUGUUAUAUGCACGAGUAGAACACAAGUGAGUUGUGGGCGAUAUAAGUCAUACUGCUUACCAGCAUGUCAUACUUUGGUUCGGCGGUAUUGUUGGAUGAAGCGGCCUGGACCGACAUUACGCGUACGCUUACGCGAGACUGGUUUUACCGCCGUGCUUUGCACACAGGUGACUAGCGGGUGUCAGUUUCUCCAACUUUAGUUGAGCCGAGUGUGGCUACGCCCGGUCCUUGCGAAGGUUAAAACAGCAUCAACUUGACAAACUAUCGUUGUGAUUUUGAUGCGUAGGUGAGAUUGGUUCUUGCUUAAGCCCGUAGCAGCCACGUAAACCUUGCAACGACAAAGUAGAGGACGUCUAACUUGUUUUUGCAGGGCAUGUUGUGAUGUGAUAUGGUCAAGACGUGAUAAGAUAUAAGUUGUUGUAUGAGAUGAUCAUGUUUUGUUGAAGUUAUCGACAACUGGCAGAAGCCCUAUGGUUGUCUCUUUGUUGCAUAAGAUGCAACUACCAAAUAAUUGCUUUACUUUAUCGCUAUACGAUAGCAAUAGUUGUAAGAGCAAUAGUUGGUGAGACAACCAUGUGAUGACACAUUGAUAUAGAUCAAGAUGAUGAAGAUCAUGGUGUCGUGCCGGUGACGAUAGAGAUCAUGACAGUACUUUGGAUAUGGAGAUCAAAGGCGCAAGAUAAUCAUGGCCAUAUCAUGUCACAUAUUUUUGAUUGCAUAUGAUGUUUAUCUAUUAUACAUCUUAUUCUUGCUUUGAUUGACGGUAGCAUUUUAAGAUGAUCUCUCACUAAAUUAUCAAGAAGUGUUCUCCCUGAGUAUGCACCGUUGCCAAAGUUCGUCGUGCCCAGACACCACGUGAUGAUUGGGUGUGAUAAGCUCUACGUCCAUCUACAAUGGGUGCAAGCCAGUUUUGCACACGCGGAAUACUCAGGUUAAACUUGACGAGCCUAGCAUAUGCAGAUAUGGCCUUGGAACACGGAGACCGAAAGGUCGAGCGUGAAUCAUAUAGUAGAUAUGAUCAACAUAAGAUGUUCACCAUUGAAAACUACUCCAUCUCACGUGAUGAUCGGUUAUGGUUUAGUUGAUUUGGAUCACGUGAUCACUUAGAUGACUAGAGAGAUGUCUGUCUAAGUGGGAGUUCUUAAGUAAUAUGAUUAAUUGAACUUAAAUUUAUCAUGAACUUAGUCCUGGUAGUAUUUUGCGAAUUAUGUUGUAGAUCAAUAGCUCGCGUUGUUGCUUUCAUAUGUUUAUUUUCAUAUGUUCCUAGAGAAAAUUGUGUUGAAAAAUGUUAGUAGCAAUAAUGCGGAUUGGGUCCGCGAUCUGAGGUUUAUCCUCAAUGCUGCACAGAAGAAUUAUGUCCUUAAUGCACCGCUAGGUGACAGACCUAUUGCAGGAGCAGAUGCAGACGUUAUGAACGUUUGGCUAGCUCAAUAUGAUGACUACUUGAUAGUUUUGUGCACCAUGCUUUAUGGCUUAGAAUCGGGACAUCAAAGAUGUUUUGAACAUCAUGGACCAUAUGAGAUGUUCCAGGAGUUGAAGUUAAUAUUUCAAGCAAAUACCCGAGUUGAGAGAUAUGAAGUCUCCAACAAGUUCUAUAGCUAAAAGAUGGAGGAGAAUCGCUCAACUAGUGAGCAUGUGCUCAGAUUGUCUGGGUACUACAAUCGCUUGAAUCAAGUGGGAGUUAAUCUUCCAGAUAAGAUAGUGAUUGAUAGAAUUCUCUAGUCACCAUCACCAAGUUAGUAGAACUUCGUGAUGAACUAUAGUAUGCAAGGGAUGAUUCCCGAGUUUCUUCAUGAUGAUGAAAUCGAUGAAGGUAGAAAUCAAGAAAGAACAUCAAGUGUUGAUGGUUAACAAGACCACUAGUUUCAAGAAAAGGGCAAAGGGAUAGAAGGGAACUUCAAGAAGAACGGCAGGCAAGUUGCUGCUCAAGUGAGGAAGCCCAAGUCUGGACCUAAGCCUGAGACUAAGUGCUUCUACUGCAAAGGGAAUGGUUACUGGAAGCAGAACUACCCCAAGUAUUUGGCGGAUAAGAAGGAUGGCAAAGUAAACAAAUGUAUAUUUGAUAUACAUGUUAUUGAUGUGUACUUUACUAGUGUCUAUUGCAACCCCUCGGUAUUUGGUACUGGUUCAGUUGCUAAGAGUAGUAACGCGAAACGGGAGUUGCAGAAUACACUAGUUAAGGGAGAAGUGACGAUGAGUGUUGGAAGUAGUUCCAAGAUUGAUAUGAUCAUCAUCGCACACUCCCUAUACUUUUGGGACUAGUGUUGAACCUAAAUAAAUGUUAUUUGGUGUUUGCGUUGAGCAUGAAUAUGAUUUGAUCGUGUUUAUUGCAAUACAGUUAUUCAUUUAAGUAAGAGAAUAAACUGUUGUUCUGUUUACAUGAAUAAAACCUUAUAUGAUUACACACCCAAUGAAAAUGGUUCAUUGGAUCUCGAUCAUAGUGAUACACAUAUUCAUAAUAUUGAAACCAAAAGAUGCAAAGUUAAUAAUGAUAGUGCAACUUAUUUGUGGCACUGCCGUUUAGGUCAUAAUGGUGUAAAGCGCAUGAAGAAACUCCAUGCUGAUGGGAUUUUGGAAUCACUUGAUUAUGAAUCACUUGAUGCUUGCGAACCAUGCCUCAUGGGCAAGAUGACUAAGACUCCGUUCUCCGGAACAGUGGAGCGAGCAACUGACUUAUUGGAAAUAAUACAUACUGAUGUAUGCGAUCCAAUGAGUGUUAAGGCUCGCGGCGGGUAUCGUUAUUUUCUGACCUUCACAGAUGAUUUGAGCAGAUAUGGGUAUAUCUACUUGAUGAAACAUAAGUCUGAAAUAGUUGAAAGGUUCAAAGAAUUUCAGAGUGAAGUGGAAAAAUCAUCGUGACAAGAAAAUAAGGUUUCUACGAUCUGAUCGCGGAGACAAAUAUUGGAAUUACGAGUUUGGUCUUCAAUUAAAACAAUGUGGAAUAGUUUCACAAAUUCAUGCCACCUGGAACACCACAUCAUAAUGGUGUGUCCGAACGUCAUAACCGUACUUUAUUGGAUAUAGUACAAUCUAUGAUGUUUCUUACCGAUUUACCAAUAUCGUUUUGGGAUCAUGCAUUAGAGACAGCUGCAUUCACGUUAAAUAGGGCACCAUCUAAAUCCGUUGAGACGACACUAUAUGAACUGUGGUUUAGCAAGAAACCAAAGUUGUCGUUUCUUAAUGUUUGGGACUGCGAUGCUUAUGUGAAAAAGUUUCAUCCUGAUAAGCUCAAACCCAAAUCGGAGAAGUGCGCCUUCAUAGAAUACCCAAAGGAAAUUUUUGGGUACACCUUCUAUCAUAGAUCCGAAGGCAAAACAUUCGUUGCUAAUAAAUGGAUCCUUUCUAGAGAAGGAGUUUCUCUCGAAAGAAGUGAGUGAGAGGAAAGUAGAACUUGAUGAGGUAAUUGUACCUUCUCCCUUAUUGGAAAGUAGUUCAUCACAGAAAUCUGUUCCUGUGACUACUACACCAAUUAGUGAGGAAGCUAAUAAUGAUGAUCAUGUAACUUCAGAUCAAGUUACUACCGAAUCUCGUAGGUAAACCAGAGUGAGAUCCGCACCAAAGUGGUAUGGUAAUCCUGUUCUGGAGGUCAUGUUACUUGACCAUGACAAACCUACGAACUAUGAGGAAGCGAUGAUGAGCCCAGAUUCCGCGAAAUGGCUUGAGGCCAUGAAAUCUGAGAUGAGAUCCAUGUAUAAGAACAAAGUGUGGACUUUGGUGGAGUUGCCCGAUGAUCGGCAAGCCAUAGAAAAUAAAUGGAUCUUCAAGAGGAAGACGGACGCUGAUAGUAGUGUUACUAUCUACAAAGCUAGACUUGUCGAAAAAAGGUUUUUGACAAAGUUCAAGAUGUUGAAUACAAUGAGAUUUUCUCACUCGUAUCGAUGCUUAAAAGUCUGUCCGAAUCAUGUUAGCAAUUGCCGCAUUUUAUGAAAUCUGGCAAAUGGAUAAACAAAACUGCAUUCCUUGAUGGAGUUAUUAAAGAAGAGUUGUAUGUGAUGCAACCAAGAGGUUUUGUCGAUCCUAAAGGUGUUAACAAAAUGUGCAUCUAUGGACUGGUGCAAGCAUCUCGGAGUUGGAAUAUACGCUUUGAUAAGUUGAUCAAAGCAUAUAGUUUAUACAGACUUGCAGUGAAGCCUGUAUUUACUAGAAAGUGAGUGGGAGCACUACAUCAUUUCUGAUAAGUAUAUGUGAAUGACAUAUUGUAGAUCGGAAAUAAUGUAGAAUUAUUCUGCAAAGCAUAAAGGAGUGUUUGAAAGGAGUUUUUCAAAGAAAGACCUCGGUGAAGCUGCUUACAUAUUGAGCAUCAAGAUCUAUAGAGAUAGAUCAAAACGCUUGAUAAGUUUUUCAAUGAGUACAUACCUUGACAAGAUUUUGAAGUAGUUCAAAAUGGAACAGUCAAAGAAAGAGUUCUUGCCUGUGUUACAAGGUUUGAAAUUGAGUAAGACUCAAAACCCGACCACGGCAGAAGAUAGAAAGAGAAUGAAAGUCAUUCCCUAUGCCUUGGCCGUAGGUUCUAUAAAGUAUGCCAUGCUGUGUACCAGAUCUAUUGUAUGCCCUGCACUGAGUUUGGCAAGGGAGUGCAAUAGUGAUCUAGGAGUAGAUCACUGGACAGCGGUCAAACUUAUCCUUAGUGGAAUAAGGAUAUGUUUCUCGAUUAUGGAAGUGACAAAAGGUUCGUCGUAAAGGUUUACGUCGAUGCAAGUUUUGACACCGAUCUGGAUGACUCUAAGUCUCGAUCUAGAUACAUAUUGAAAGUGGGAGCAAUUAGCUAGAGUAGCUCCGUGCAGAGCAUUGUAGACAUAGAAAAUUGCAAAAUACAUAACGGAUCUGAAUGUGAAAAACCCGUUGACUAAGAUUCUCUCACAAGCAAAACAUGAUCACACCUUAGUAAUCUUUGGGUGUUAAUCACAUAGCGAUGUGAACUAGAUUACUGAAUCUAGUAAACCCUUUGGAUGUUGGUCACAUGGCGAUGUGAACUAUGGGUGUUAAUCACAUGAUGAUGUGAACUAUCGAUGUGAAUCACAUGGUGAUGUGAUCUAGAUUAUUGACUCUAGUGCAAGUGGGAGACUGGAGGAAAUAUGCCCUAGAGGCAAUAAUAAAGUUAUUAUUUAUUUCCUUAUAUCAUGAUAAAUGUUUAUUAUUCAUGCUAGAAUUGUAUUAACCGGAAACAUAAUACAUGUGUGAAUAUAUAGACAAACAGAGUGUCACUAGUAUGCCUCUACUUGACUAGCUUGUUAAUCAAAGAUGGUUAUGUUUCCUAACCAUGGACAAAGAGUUGUUAUUUGAUUAACGGGAUCACAUCAUUAGUUGAAUGAUCUGAUUGACAUGACCCAUUCCGUUAGCUUAGCACCCGAUCGUUUAGUAUGUUGCUAUUGCUUUCUUCAUGACUUAUACAUGUUCCUAUGACUAUGAGAUUAUGCAACUCCCAUUUACCGGAGGAACACUUUGUGUGCUACCAAACGUCACAACGUAACUGGGUGAUUAUAAAGGUGCUCUACAGGUGUCUCCGAAGGUACUUGUUGGGUUGGCGUAUUUCGAGAUUAGGAUUUGUCACUCCGAAUGUCGGAGAGGUAUCUCUGGGCCCUCUCGGUAAUGCACAUCACUUAAGCCUUGCAAGCAUUGCAACUGAUGAGUUAGUUGCGAGAUGAUGUAUUACGGAACGAGUAAAGAGACUUGCCGGUAACGAGAUUGAACUAGGUAUUGGAUACCGACGAUCGAAUCUCGGGCAAGUAACAUACCGAUGACAAAGGGAACAACGUAUGUUGUUAUGCGGUCUGACCGAUAAAGAUCUUCGUAGAAUAUGUAGGAACCAAUAUGGGCAUCCAGGUCCCGCUAUUGGUUAUUCACCGGAGACGUGUCUCGGUCAUGUCUACAUUGUUCUCGAACCGUAGGGUCCGCACGCUUAAGGUUUCGAUGACAGUUUAUUAUGAGUUUAUGAGUUUUGAUGUACCUAAGGAGUUCGGAGUCCCGGAUGAGAUCGGGGACAUGACGAGGAGUCUCAAAAUGGUCGAGACGUAAAGAUCGAUAUAUUGGACGACUAUAUUCGGAGUUCGGAAAGGUUCUGAGUGAUUCGGGUAUUUUUCGGAGUACCGGAGAGUUACGGGAAUUCGUAUUGGGCCUCUUUGGGCCAUACGGGAAAGGAGAGAAAGGGCCAAAAGGGUGGCCGCACCCCUCCCCUUGGACUAGUCCGAAUUGGACUAGGGAGGGGGGGCGCCCCCUUCCUUCCUUCUCCUUCUCUCUUCCCUUUCCUUCUCUCCUACUCCUACUACAUGGAAGGGUUCCUAGUUGGACUAGGAAAGGGGGAAUACUACUCCCGGUGGGAGUAGGACUCCCCUAGGGCGCGCCAUAGAGAGGGUCGGCCCUCCCCUCCUCCACUCCUUUAUAUACGGGGGCAGGGGGCACCCCAUGGACACACAAGUUGAUCAUUGAGAUCGUUCCUUAGCCGUGUGCGGUGCCCCCCUCCACGAUAUUCCACCUCGAUCAUAUUGUUGCGGUGCUUAGGCGAAGCCCUGCGACAGGAGAACAUCAAGAUCGUCACCACGCCGUCGUGCUGACGGAACUCCCCCUCGGAACCUCUACUGGAUUGGAGAUCGAGGGUGCGUCAUCGAGCUGUACGUGUGUCAAGAACUCGGAGGUGCCGGAGUAACGGUGCUUGGAUCUGUUGGACCGGGAGGACGUACGACUACUUCCUCUACGUUGCGUCAACGCUUCCGCUUCGGUCUACGAGGGUACGUAGACAACACUCUCCCCUCUCGUUGCUAUGCAUCACCAUGGUCUUGCAUGUGCGUAGGAAAUUUUUUGAAAUUACUACGUUCCCCAACAAUUGGGCCACACAUUCAGCAAUAAAGUGGCCCUUGUCCCCACAUCGAUAGCAAAUCAUCCUCUCCUUCUUACGGGCAUACUUGGAAGCCCUCUCAGCAUCAGACAUGUCGGUGGCCUCAUCCACCGUCCCAGCCUCAGAAACGUCAACAUUGGCCAACUCCUUUACCACCUCCUUCGCCUGUGGAGGUAGCUCUGAGGAAUGCUGAGUCUCAUCCGUAGCAUCAGAAUGAACUGUCACCCUAGGUGGUUGUGGGCGACGAAAUCUCCCACGACCCCAAGUCCGACCACCUCUGUUACCACGAAAACCUCCUCUUUGAUGAUGAUCCGGGCCGGAUGCCCCCUCAACAAACCCGCCGGCCGGCCCUAGAAAGGGUCUCUCGGUCGAACCGUCACUCUGCCAAACGUAGCCACGGCCUCCUCCCGUUGACGAGGAGCCGCGGUGAUGUCCCUCACCGUAUGCAUCGUAGCCGUCAUCCCCCCACUGGCCUCGGGGAGGAGCAUUAGACUGAGUGGACCUGUUUUGCACCGGCCUAGCAACAUAGUGUGGUGGUGGUUUUCCCGUGGUUGCCGGCGCACUUCCAGCCUGGCGUUGACCAGCGUCGCGGCCAGCCGGCCCAUUGCCAGCAGUACUCGGCACCUGGGGUCUAGGUCCCCCUAGACCGGCAGCUUGUGGGGCAGGGGGCGGCGCCGCUGUAGCCCUCCCUACCCCCCGGCCUGCAGAAUUCGCCACGGGCGCCAAGAACGGAGCCUUCGGCCUCAAGCCACCCCUCGCAAGGGCCGGCUGCGGAUGGGAUGUCCCCGGCGGCGGCGCCCCCCCGGUAGGUGCACCUCGACCCGCGACCCCAGCCGCUCCGCCACCUCCCGCCGGCGGCCUCUGGCCGACCUGCGUCUGACCCCCACGUCCGGUGGUCGCUGCCGGCGGUGGAGCCACUCCUCCCCGACCUGCAGCAGCCGACAGGGAUCGUUUCACCGGCGGAGGAGCAUCCCCUCGACCUGCCAUGGCGGGCCAGGGUUGGAUGUGCCGCGCUCGUCUAUCUCCGCAAGACGGGAACCCCCUCGUACCUGAUUUGCGAACCCUAGACGGCGGCAAGGGAGCGACAGACACAACACGAUCAACGUACGUGCAUGCGCCUUCCACAGGACGGACCGACCGGACGUCGCACUCCUGGGCCACAUACCCGUUGGAGGCCGCACGCUCCAGGCCCGCAUCAGCACCCCCAUGAUGGGCCUCAUGCCCAUUCAUGCUCUGGACACCGGCCCGUACCCUACCGGCCCACUCAGAGCCAAGUAGCGAUUUCAAACGAUCGGACCUGGCCGCCCUGAUCUCGUCGGCCGCCCAGGUCGCCAGCGGCGGAGGUGCUAGAUCUGGCCUCCCCCCCUUCUUCCUCUUCUUUCGAAUAACCAUGUUCCAAUCCUCUACAGGAAAAAAAUCGGACAAAGUAAUUGGUUGAACGCAUACCUUAGGCAAAGGCCCUUUCCAUGGUCGGAUCGCCGUCGCUGCCGUCCUCCGGUGUAUAAUCCGGCGAACCACCUCCACUCGAUCGGUAGAAUGCAGACCUAGCCGCGCCGGAUCAUCUCCCGGCACGAUUUCAUCUACCAACGCAGCAACAUCUUCCUCCGAAUAUCCAGGAUUGAACGCCUCGCAGAUCACGUCCGAUGGUGUUGGCGAAUACUCCGGCACCGGAUCGUCUUCGUCCUCCUCAUCUUCCGAGUCCGCUAGGGCCCAGAAUCGACCCCCCACCCGAGCACUAGUAGAAAACCACCAAUCAGUCCCGGUUCAUAAGGGCCUUUAGUCCCGGUUCGGGAACCGGGACUAAUGGGUCGUUACUAAUACCUCAACCCAUUAGUCCCGGUUCAAACACGAACCGGGACCAAUGUGCCUCCACGUGGCCCUGUGCGCCGAGCCCAGUCAGGGGGCCUUUGGUCCCGGUUGGUGGCUCCAACCGGGACCAAAAGGCGUCCACGUGUCUGCAUUCCAGUGGCCUGAGUUUCUUUUUGAAAGGAGGGGGGUUGGGGGGUUUUGGGGGGUUUUGGGGGGUUAAUUUAGGUGUUUCGUAUAUUGUGUUAGCUAGCUAAUUAAUAGAGAGAAGUGUCCUCUCUUAAUUAUGUCCGUGCUUGCUCGACGCUACGUAGUAUAUAUACAUAAGUGAUCGAGAGAACCAUUCAGUACAGAAGUUCGUCAUGCAUACCGAGAGAAGUGAUCGAUCGACCUCUCCUUCUCCGAGAGAUUGGUCGAACAACAAGUUUUACUGGCUACAUACAUGUACAAUCUAUAUAAGAUCUCUUAAUUACAAACCACUAGCAUUUGAAUUCAAGUUCCACAUGGUAUUCUCCGGCUUUACUGAUGACGUGUUCAAGAAAGAAUCCCGCCAAUUCCUCUUGAAUUGCUUUCAUGCGAUCUGGUUCUAGGAGUUCAUCCCGCAUCUGCCACGUCUAAUUAAUUUGAAGAAGGGGCUUAAUUAAUACAUAUAUAUGAAUGAAACUCAACAGAAAUGAUGGUGUAAUAAAAUGAAAUUGUGAAUAUUAUUGCUUACGCACUUCAUAUUGUCUUCUAGAGUAGCCCCGCUUGUUUUUCAAUGUCGCGUUGUGGAUGAACUCGCACACGUAGUAUCCACAGAAAUCAUUCCCUUCCUCCUGCCACAAGCACUUUACGAGAAAUAGAGGUCAAUCAAACUGAUAAUGAAGCAUUAUAUAAAUGGCAUUGAUGAAAGUAUAGCUAUAGAAUCAAUGGGAGAUGCGCGCCAGUAGUACUUACUUUCGGGUAUGUAUAUCGCAGCUCCUUCGGCAGUCCCGGAGCUUGUGCGGUGAAAUGUUUCCAAACCCUGCAAGACAAAGAAAAUAUUUGUUAUUACUUGAGAUAUCAGGAAAUGAACAAAAAGUUGCCGAUAUGGUGCGAUAAUGAUCGAUUGAACUUACUUGCUGAGCAUUUCAGUCAUGUCCGCAUAGGUGUUGGGAUCUUUCCGUCUGGAGUCUAAGACGGUUACUAGUCCACGCUCAAGCUUAAUCUCCAGAAGAAUAUAGUGGUACCUACACGCAUGCAUAACUCAUCAAUUACAUUAACCUCGCUCGAGUAAUAAGGAAAACCGAAUAUGCACACGACAGUAACACUCACGGGCCGUGGUAAGGAAAGAGUAUGGUAUCUUUGUUUUGAUUUUUUAUCAAUGAUUGUAGCAAGUUGUCCUCGGCCUCUUCGGCGCGCUUUUUAACCAGAAAAACAUCUAUGAUAUUUGUGUUAAUGAACCCAAUAUCAUAGAUUUCAUUUUUUUUGCACUCGACGAUCUUCAAUCUGCAUAAUAUAUUGAGGAUAAUUAAUUAUAAAUACAUGCAAUGAAAGAGCCGAGCUAUAUAUACAGACUAAUAACAGAAAUAGUACUUACAGGCAGUAGAAAAAGACCAUUAAUUUAUCGAGGGCCUUUUGAUUGAAGAACUCGAAGAACUCCUCAAAUGGAAUAGACAACAGAUCAUUUGAAACGAGGUCGUGCUCCUCUUUAAUUUUCAGAUACAAAGUGUUCGUCCCCUCAGACUCUCUGCAGGUUUUCAUGUACCAACUGUGGAAUCUUCGCAUCAUUGUUGUCAGAGACUUUUCAUCUUUGACGAGAGGCUUCCCGUACUCGUAUCUGAAUAAGUCCACCUCCAUGAAAUCAGGAAGUGCAUCGUCAGGCAGGUAAUCUUCAAGAUUGCCAUAACCGGCCACCGUCCCCGGAGGAUUAGACACAUUCAGCGGGGGGCACGAUUGCUGUGCUUGUUCGCCGAGCUGGGCAAUUUUUUUCCCCUUUGCCCGUUGUUCUUUUAACCUUUUAUCAGUGACAGUAGUUCCCGACCGCUUGGCUUGGAGAUAUGUCUGUUCAGUAAUGCGCUCAUAGUUGGUUCUCGGCGGAGACUUUGGUGGUUUCCUCAGGGCAUCGAGAGUGUGCUUUGCUUUCACCGGAUCGACCUUCUCCUCCGGAGGUGGAUGUAUCUUUGCUUUAACCCCUUCAAAGAACUCCUUCACUUGGGUCUGCACGAUCGUAUCGUUUUCCUCCUUGCUCCUCUCAUACGGUAACUUCUCUACAGGCUUUAGAGGUGGACCGUAUCUGUAUUGCCUCUCUCUUCUUGUGCUGCUAGACGCCGGAGCAGACGGAGCGGCUGCGGCGUCUGUCUUCCUUCGUGCUUGCUUACGAGGCGGAGGAGAAGGACUAUGACGCGUCGGAGCAGCCGGGGCGGCGGCGGGUCUCUUCCGCCCUUGCUGGCGAGGCGGAGAAGGAGGAGGCGGAGUGCCGCCACGCGCCGGAGAAGGGGGCGGAGUGCCGCCACGCGUGCCCUGAUCUUCACUCGCCGGAGGAGGAGGCGGUGGAGGAGGCGGAGUGCCGCCAUGCGUGCCCUGAUCGUCACUCGCCGGAGGAGGAGGCGGUGGAGGAGGCGGAGUGCCCUGACUCGCCAGAUGAGGAGGAGGAGGCGGAGGCGUCCAGUUCAGAAGGUCGAUGAGCUCCUUCCGCCAUAGGCAUGGAGUCUUCAGAGCAGAACCCAGCCUAGUCUCCCCUUCACCGGUAGGGUGCUCAAGCGCGAGGUCCUCAAAUCCCUCCGUUAUUUCAUCAACCAUCACCUUAGCAAAUCCUUCUGGAAUCGGCUGGCAGUGAUAAGUUGUGCCGGGUCCACUAGGAUAAACUUGGCCAACAGCCGCCUUGACCUUCAAAUUCAUGCAUCGCGCCAUAAUGUGGCAAUUUUGAGACUCCGUGAUACCAUCCACGGGAUAGCUGGCAGGAGCCGUCAAGACAUGCUCCGGCUGAAGCAGCUCGGUGGAAGCAACGCUGCUUCUGCGCUGAGAUGGCGGGGUAGCUUCGGGGGAAGCUUCGGCAUGUCGUUUGUUGCGAUCUGCUGCUUCUCGUUCCUCUUCUCGAUCCUCUAGCCCCAUUACCCUUCCAAGCAGCGCCUGCAUUUGGUCAUGCUCCACUUUCUUCCUCCUCUCGUGGGUUUUGUAACCCCCUGCGUCCGGAAAACCAACCUUCCACGGAAGCGAGCCUGGCGUGCCUCGUGUCCGUCCAGGGUGCUCGGGAUUCCCAAGGGCCAUUGUGAGCUCGUCCUUCUCCCUGUUUGGAAGGAACAUCCCUCGCUGCGCAGCAUCAAUAUAUUGUCGAAGUUUCUUGACUGGUGUUUGCAGUUGCUCGUUCGUCCACUGACACUGUCCUGUUACAGGGUCCAAGGUUCCGCCAGCCCCGAAGAACCAAGUCCGGCAACGGUCUGGCCAGCGCAUCGUCUCUGGUUCGAUCCCUUUUUCAAGCAGAUCAUGCUCAGCCUUGGACCACUUAGGCCGGGCUUUGAGGUAGCCACCUGACCCCGUGCGAUGGUGAAGCGUCUUCUUCGCAGCAUUUUUCUUGUUUGUCUCCGACAUCUUCUUACUCUUUUCCGAUGUCUUGUGGGCCACAAAUGCGGGCCAGUGAUCUUUGAUCUUCUCAUAUUUGCCGAUGAAUUCUGGUGUCUCUUUUUUCUUGACAAACUGGUUCAGCUCUUUCCUCCACCUCCUCAUUAGGCCAGCCAUCUUCUUAAGAGCACAAGACUUGAUUAAUUGCUCUUUAACUGGCUUCUCCGGAUCCUCCUCUGGCGGUAGGGUGAAAUUUGCCUUCAGCUCAUUCCAAAGAUCUUCUUUCUGCAUAUCAUUGACAUAAGACACCUCAGCGACUUCAUCCUUAGCAGGCUUAUACCAUUGCUGGAUGCUGAUCGGGAUCCUGUCCCUAACAAGAACCCCGCACUGAGCAGAAAAUGCCUUCUUUGUCCGGAUGGGUUCAAUCGGUUCGCCGUCGGGCGCGAUUUCUAUGAUCUCAAACUUUUCAUCCGAGCUCAACUUUUUCUUCGGGCCUCGUCUCCUUACCGAAGUUGUGCUCGAUCCGGAGGGCUAGAAAUUAUAAGGAAGAAAGACGACAGUACUUAAUAUGUGUACAUAUACCAAAACAAUGGAUGCAUCAAUUAACUUGUCAGCACGGGCUUAACUAAUAUAUAUAUACCUGGCCGGACUCGGUUCGGUGACUCGGCUCGGCACAGUCUCCUUCGUCUUGUACCUCCAUUGUGUCACCGGAGCCAUCAUGAACAUAGUCCUCCUCUUGUGCCGGCAUUAAUGAGUCGAAGCCAUCAUAAUCAUAGCCCUCUUCUUCAUCCAUCUGACCAACGGUGUCGAUGAGAAAUGACACAACAUCAUCACUUCCAUUUGCGAUUAUUUCCCCCAACAUCGCUUCUGUUUCUUCGUCUCGGGAGUGCUCCAUAGUUUCUGCAAAUAUUGACAACAUGUCAAUUAUUAUUCAAACAU